UAAUAUCGUUGUCUGUGGAUGGAGAAUGUAGGAUGAUUUCUUCGUAAAAUUCGGCGGGAGUUUCUUCAAUCUCCGAAAGGGGUUCUUCCAUUGCCGCUAAUAACAUAAUAUAGUUGUCCGUUGUUUGUGAAUUUAGGAUGAUUUCUUCGUAAAAUUCGGCGGGAGUUUCUUCAAUCUCCGAAAGGGGUUCUUCCAUUGCCGCUAAUAACAUAAUAUCGUUGUCUGUGGAUGGUGAAUGUAGGAUGAUUUCUUCGCAAAAUUCGGCGGGAGUUUCUUCAAUCUCCGAAAGGGGUUCUUCCAUUGCCGCUAAUAACAUAAUAUCGUUGUCCGUUGUUUGGGAAUUUAGGAUGAUUUCUUCGUAAAAUUUGGCGGGAGUUUCUUCAAUCUCCGAAAGGGGUUCUUCCAUUGCCGCUAAUAACAUAAUAUCGUUGUCUGUGGAUGGGGAAUUUAGGAUGGUUUCUUCGUAAAAUUCGGCGGUAGUUUCUUUAAUCUCCGAAAGGGGUUCUUCCAUUGCCGCUAAUAACAUAAUAUCGUUGUCUGUGGAUGGGGAAUUUAGGAUGAUUUCUUCGUAAAAUUCGGCGGGAGUUUCUUUAAUCUCCGAAAGGGGUUCUUCCAUUGCCCCUAAUAACAUAAUAUCGUUGUCUGUGGAUUGGGAAUUUAGGAUGAUUUCUUCGUAAAAUUCGGCGGGAGUUUCUUCAAUCUCUGAAAGGGGUUCUUCCAUUGCCGCUAAUAACAUAAUAUCGUUGUCUGUGGAUGGUGAAUGUAGGAUGAUUUCUUCGCAAAAAUCGGCGGGAGUUUCUUCAUUCUCCGAAAAGGGUUCUUCCAUUGCCGCUAAUAACAUAAUAUCGUUGUCUGUGGAUGGGGAAUGUAGGAUGAUUUCUUCGUAAAAUUCGGCGGGAGUUUCUUCAAUCUCCGAAAGGGGUUCUUUCAUUGCCGCUAAUAACAUAAUAUUGUUGUCUGCUCUGAUCUUUUCAAGAUGCAUAAAAUUAUCUUUGGUGUUUUUUAUUAACAAACUUUUUUGAACAGAAAGAUGUAAAAUAAUUAAUAAUAUGAAAGAGAGGGAAAAUAAAAAGAUGAGCGCAAUAAACAUUUUAAAGACAGAUUAAAAAAUAUAUAUAUAAAUAGCAUUGAUAAAAAAAAAAUAUUUAAAAUUAAAAAAAAAAAAUAUAUAUAUUUAAAUAUCUUAAUUUGAAAUUUGGAAAUAUAUAUUGAAUAAGGCGCGUGCGCCUUUAAAAUAUUAAUAUUUCAAUAUUUAUUUAUAUAUACAAAUUUAUAUUGGUUGAAGCGCGCGCCUCAAAAAACAUCUAAUAUAAAACAUCCGCUAGUAAAAUAUAAUCUUCAUUACACUUGUCCAAUUUCUAUAAGCCAUUAAAUGUGGCGCCCCUUGCCGUUAAAAUAUCAAUAAAUCAAUUCAACUUAUGAGCUUAAAAAUAACACUGCAUACCAAUUGGCUACGGACUCAAAUGAUAAUUGACCAAAUAACAUGAAUAGGACAAACACUAAGGUGAAUUUCUGCGAAGGGGAAGAUUGGGUCUUCUGAUCGGAGGGCAAGCACAACCUCAUCCACAUGAGGUGGCUUCUCGUUGCUAGUUGUCUUGCCAAGCCUGGCACCUCUCUGCCUGAUCAUCAUUGCCAGCAUGUGCUGCAGCUCAGCUACACUGGCACCUGCUUGGAGGGUGUUGGCAACACUGCCAGUCAGGGUCUGCAUGCCGGCAAGGUUUGUUAUUCCUAUGGCCUCUCUAAACUGCUGGCAUGCAGUAUGGUAGGUCACAAGCAGGGCAGUGUUGGUCAGCUCAGCAUCAGGUUCUAGGAAGGUGUCGUAUGAGCUGUUUAGCAGCUCAACAUUUGGAUUGUUUACCAUGAAGGCAACAGACUGAGUCACAACUUUCUUUGACAUCAGGUACAUCUCCAGAGCCUGUGGUGCUGCCUGCCCAAGGACAGAUCCCAUUAGGCGUGCACCUGCUGCAUCUGCCGCCUUAAACUCUGUUGCAGUGUUUGCCUCCAGCAGGAACGGGGCAACGUUGAUUUCAUUUGUGAGCCCUGAAGGGAAGUUGGUGAAGGCUACAGAGACACCUCUACCGUGAUUACCAAGUAUGUCUGUGCCUGCUGCACAGACUCUAAGGUGUCGAACGGGGCGGGGACCUGUUCCGCCAUACCUAUUGUAGCUUUAGACUUCUCACUGUUUCGUGUUCCCUUUUUCUUACCUAUUUUGAGUUUUUGAAGAAAGAGUUUGUUUUCACACGCAUAUUUAAUAAAAAAAAAAAAAAACAGAAAGAGCAAAAGACAAUUUCAUGCCUGAUGUCUUUAUUGGGUGAUGGGUUCUGGGUCUUUUUCUCAGUUGAAGGUUGAGGCUGUUGGUGGUGGUUAUUGUGAUGGGGUUCACAGGCUCAUCUAUUGUCUGGUCAUCUCCGGGCUAUCUGUCGAGCCUCACAGGUCUGUCUCCAUCACUGAGGGGCUCUUGGCAUCUCACUGAGGGACUCUUUUCAUCGGGGUGUAGCAGGUCACAUGGGGUGUGUAGACCAUAGGAAGGGCAGGGAGGUCUAUAGGCCUUUUUUUUUAAAACAAUUUUUCCAGCCCCUUUCCAGCUCCCACACCAGGCUUGGUGUAGUCCCUCACACACACUUCCUGGUCAGUGGUGAGCUCCUGUAGUAUGCCAUCUCCUUGAAGAUGUCCAUGGGGUUCUGGACCUGGGGUAAGACAAUGACAAUGAAAACGUCUUUAUUGACAUCUUAGUCAAUAGUACACUCCGGAGAGUUAAGAAAGACUAUUUACAAAUUCCUCAGAGAGAGUCAGAAUGACAAGGCGGCCCUGAGCCCGGAUAUUUUCUCGCAAAGAGAAGGAUCCAGGUCCAGGGCGCGCUCUAAGAGAGCGCCAAGUUGUUGGGCCAGAUUGGUUCUCUCAGUGGGCCGGAGUCGCGGGACGAAGCUCACCCUGUCCUUUAGAUCUAGGGUCGCAUCCACCAGAUCGAGGUGGUCGAUGCCUGAAUGGGACACAGGCUUCAGGUCGAUUUCCUCCAUGAAUUUUCCGUAAAGGGCCUGCGACCUCCUCCAACGGGUUAGGUCCGGGGUGUCCUCCACAUGUAUAGACUGUGGAGGCGGAGGUGUGGCCAUGGCCGGUGACGAUUCCAUGUCCUGGGGAGCGGGUGGUGUUGGCUCAGCAGGCCGAGGCGCAGGCAGUGGAGGUGUAGGCACUGCGGCUGGUGUUGUCCUCAGCUCAGCCUUGACCUGUCCGAGGACUUUAUAGAUAUUGCUGCCUGCUCCGGGCCUCAGAUCCAAGAUUUGUUUGAUAAGGCCGGCGAGAGCAUCGCCCUGCGGAGGUGACAGGAGGGGUCCAUGCUUCUGCGCCUUGGUCCUCGAGGAGAGGAGGUCUAGGACCUCCUCCCGCCCAAGACCAGGGCGUCCAUCCCAGCAAAGGGUAUAAAUAACAUGUACAUAAAAGAACAAAGCUUAAUUCUAAGUCCUAAUAUUUUUUUUUACAAAAAAAUGCAUCCAAAUAUUGCAAAAAUACGGCAUUUUUGCAGCCCCCCUGACAAAAAUUCACUAAAAGAGUUAAAUAUUCUAAAAAAUGUUUUGGUAUAUAUAUUGCUAAAUGUGUAACAAACAUGUAUAUAAAAAAGCAAGGGAGAAGUGGAGCCAUUUUGCCAUUUUCAAAAUUUGAUUGUGAAAUAAUAAAUAAAUGAGUAAAUAAGGACAAAAAUAAAGAAAAAAUAAUUAAGUAAAGAAAAGACAUAAUAAAAUAUUUUAAAUAACAAAUUAUAUAUAAAGAAUAUCUUUUUUCAAUAAAUUAAUUCUAUGUAUAUAGCAAGGGCAGUCUAUACUGAAAGCAUUAUGUUGUGUGUUCAAUUUAAGUGUAGGGUUUUUACUAUUAGCUUUUUUACAGUUUAUACAAUUUUCUGUUUUUGUACAUGAUUUGGAAAUGUGGCCCUUGCUACAACAUUUCGCACAAGUGUUUUCUGAUUCUUUACAGUUUUUAGAUUUAUGAAAAUCAAGACAUUUAGUGCAUCUAUUAACAAGAAAAAUUUCCGUCCAUUUGAUAAUUCUCCAUCCAUAUCUAAAUCUGUGUAAAUUAUUUUCAAUUGUUGAUCUAUUUUUCAAUUGUGAAAAUGUGUUUGAAUCAAUAUUUAUAAGCCAAUCAUAUUUGUUAAAUUUAUUUUUAUAUACACUAAAGGGUUUCAAAUCAGAAUUAGUUACAUUUAAACUUUCUUUGAAAUAAUCUAUAAUCUGUUCUUUGCCAAAAUCUUCUUCAACAUUUAAUAUUUUAAUAGUAGGAGACCUACCUUUGGGGACUUUUGGAGUUAGCUUAGACCUAAGAUGUUCAUUUUCAUUUAUGAAUUUUACUAUUGUGUUUACAUUUUCCAUUGUGGGAACUUCUAUGGUGCAUCCCUUUUUGUUUGGAAUAGCAUUUGCUCUAAUUAUUUUUAGAUUAGACAAAGAAAUAUUUUCUUUAAGGAAGUCGAGUGUUCUGGCUCCUCCAGGGCCGCGGUGUCGCUUCCAGGUGUCUUCUUGCUCCUCGUAGAUGGUGCGCUCUUUUGGGCCAGUUUUUCAACCGUAGAGCAAUUCUGGUGGUGUUUCUGCAGGUCUUUGAAGCUUUGUUGGCAGACCGUGCAGUCAAAAACCACGUUGUUGAUCUUGUGUAGAACACGAAGGUGCUUCACCUGAUCGUUGUGCUGCUUGUAGACACCACUGCGGGUUAUUCCCGCCAUCCUGUAACACUCGGGACAUUUAAAGACCUCAGGUAGCUGGAACGUCAUCCUAAACGGAUCACAAAGAGCGGGGGCAAGGUUGUGUACAUGUGUCACAUUUGUGUGAGAACCUGGUAGGCGUGUGGUGUCAGACGGGCUUACCACCAGAGCAUCGUGUUUGUGUUACACAGUGUGCAUCAGCGACCUGGUUGUUAUUACCAGGAGGUAAACAAACCUGGUCACGUGACACAACAAUGUGUGCAGAAACAUGCGCAAUAGGAUGGCUAAACUCAAGGCGAGACUUGGCGAUGUGGAAAUCCCACCAGAAGCACUGUCUCGCGAACAGGGCCCAGCAGAAGUGCCAGGCGACCCAACGGCGCCAAAAAUGUCCGACUUACCUUUAGAGCCGCCUCGAACCAGGUACUCACCCAAAUGUGAAGGUGGUUCCCACGUUGGAGGGUGAGCCGCCCUCUGUAGCUUUUGGGGGUUGCUCGUGGGCGUCUUGGAGUUCCUCUGGGGCUUGGGGAUACACUGGGGCAGGCGGCUGGUCCAUUCUUGGGGUGGUGCAAUACCAGGCCAACCUGCGGCGAGGGUGGAGCAAGUUCCAAGGGGGUCCGGAGGGACCAAAAUCCUGGGGUUAUUCCAUCAAAGGACUAAAGGAUUGAUGAAGCCAUUGGAAGACUUGUUUCGACAGGUGACCUCGUUGACUUUUCCCUGAUCAGACUUUUUAAUUAGGGUUUUCAGGUUUGGAGGGCCUGCCGAAGUCUUGCCAUGAUUUGGCCCCUAGCGACUGCGGGAAGGCUGAUCUCCUUCGGUGUUUUGCCGGCGUUGGGGAGCUUGAAAAAAACAAAGAUACAAAACUCAAAUGGAUUGAUUUCGGACCAUUUGCACUGUCCUUUUGUUUGAAUGUUGAGUUUGUUGGGGUGGUACAGUCUAUUUACUUGCGUUUUUCCGGGUACUGGGGUAUGGAUACGGCAUGGCGGGUGGUGACUCCUCGGUGGGCGUCAGGUUGUUCGGACACGUGCUGGCGGUAAGCCCGUCCAUCUCUCUGCCUGUGGCGGCGGCGUGGGCGUCAUCUCUCCCGCGGGUGGAGCUCCGGUCCUCGUCUCGUCGGGUAGACCUCGCUUCUUGGAGGGCAACCGUCAACUGCCAUAUAAUGGCCGCCAGAGUGCGUCUUGUCGCUUUUCUCUCCGCCAGCUUCUUGUCCUUGCCGUUCGUCGAUUGCUCUCGUCUUUCCGUCAUAAUCCUGUCGACUUACUGUAAUAUACGGGGUGAAUAUUACUCUUGGAAGUUGAUUGAUAAUUGUUGAGGUGUUGGCGCAGUCGUGGUGCUGAGUGGACAGGUGUUCACAACAGGGGAAAGUAGUCGAGAGUACAUAAUUGGUGGUUGAAAUAAAGGCAACUGAAUCGAGGGAGAGAAGGGCUUGAAAGGUUGAGCGGAUUAAUUAUUGACUGUUCAAUUACAUGAUGGAAUAUUUGACUUAUCUGAUAGGUUGAGGCGGUGAGAAUGACUCCAAAGUGCCAGGUGCUAACUCGGUGGUGUCCAGCUAACUACUCUAGGUGCUACCUCGGUGGGAUCCAAGUUCCUUCUGACAAUUCUGUGUUCUCGAUUUAAAACGAAAGCUCUUCUUCCUUCUCAUUGGUUGACCUGCGUGACGUGGAAGUCUGCUAUAGGCUCGAAGCUAAAUGAGCUGCUCUGUGAUUGGUCCGUUUUAACUCUUUGUAUUUGGACGUGUUCUGACCUGACCAGGAAGUGCUAAGUUGUUGAACUCUUAACUUUUACGAGUUCCGGGAUAAUAAAAACCUGUUAAUGAUCAUUCUUUCUCUAGGCCUUCUCUCUCCAAUUUGGUUAAGCCUUGUUCUUUAUUAAAACUUGAAACAUACAUUUCAUACAUAUUGGGUCGGGUUUGCAUCUAGCUAUGUACAAAUUAUGACAUAUAUUUAUAUAUAUAUAUAAAAAUAAAUAGUUGUUUAGUUUUAUAGUUUAGUUUUGUAUUAAAAUUAUCUUUAUUACUUUGAUUAUUUAAAUUCAAAUUAUAAAAUUUGUAAAUUGUUAUUAUUUAAUAGAGAGAGAAAAAAAAAAUUCUUUACUUCUUACGCAUCAUCCAUAUAUAUUUAUAAUUAAUAACAAUAAAAUUUAACAACGUAACGUCUUUUGCAAUCGGCUGUUACCCGUCAUUUAGACAUACUCUAAUUUAUAUAUAGAAUAAUAGAAGUGAUGAUAGAAGAGAUAGAAGAUGGGGCUCGACCUGUUCCGCCAUACCUAUUGUAGCUUUAGACUUCUCACUGUUUCGUGUUCCCUUUUUCUUACCUAUUUUGAGUUUUUGAAGAAAGAGUUUGUUUUCACACGCAUAUUUAAUAUAAAAAAAAAAAAAACAGAAAGAGCAAAAGACAAUUUCAUGCCUGAUGUCUUUAUUGGGUGAUGGGUUCUGGGUCUUUUUCUCAGUUGAAGGUUGAGGCUGUUGGUGGUGGUUAUUGUGAUGGGGUUCACAGGCUCAUCUAUUGUCUGGUCAUCUCCGGGCUAUCUGUCGAGCCUCACAGGUCUGUCUCCAUCACUGAGGGGCUCUUGGCAUCUCACUGAGGGACUCUUUUCAUCGGGGUGUAGCAGGUCACAUGGGGUGUGUAGACCAUAGGAAGGGCAGGGAGGUCUAUAGGCCUUUUUUUUUUAAAACAAUUUUUCCAGCCCCUUUCCAGCUCCCACACCAGGCUUGGUGUAGUCCCUCACACACACUUCCUGGUCAGUGGUGAGCUCCUGUAGCAUGCCAUCUCCUUGAAGAUGUCCAUGGGGUUCUGGACCUGGGGUAAGACAAUGACAAUGAAAACGUCUUUAUUGACAUCUUAGUCAAUAGUACACUCCGGAGAGUUAAGAAAGAUUAUUUACAAAUUCCUCAGAGAGAGUCAGGAUGACAAGGCGGCCCUGAGCCCGGAUAUUUUCUCGCAAAGAGAACGCCAAGUUGUUGGGCCAGAUUGGUUCUCUCAGUGGGCAGGAGUCGCGGGACGAAGCUCACCCUGUCCUUUAGAUCUAGGGUCGCAUCCACCAGAUCGAGGUGGUCGAUCCCUGAAUGGGACACAGGCUUCAGGUCGAUUUCCUCCAUGAAUUUUCCGUAAAGGGCCUGCGACCUCCUCCAACGGGUUAGGUCCGGGGUGUCCUCCACAUGUAUAGACUGUGGAGGCGGAGGUGUGGCCAUGGCCGGUGACGAUUCCAUGUCCUGGGGAGCGGGUGGUGUUGGCUCAGCAGGCCGAGGCGCAGGCAGUGGAGGUGUAGGCACUGCGGCUGGUGUUGUCCUCAGCUCAGCCUUGACCUGUCCGAGGACUUUAUAGAUAUUGCUGCCUGCUCCGGGCCUCAGAUCCAAGAUUUGUUUGAUAAGGCCGGCGAGAGCAUCGCCCUGCGGAGGGGAAGGGGACAUAGCAGAAUUCGUUCUUCAAACUCUUUUAAAAAGGCAGCGGAACUGUUCCGGGACAUCUAUUCUUCUGUUUAUGCUGUCUUUACAACCAGAAACCAAGGAUUCCAAAAUUAAUCUUUCCCCUUUGUAUCUGAUGUUGUUGUAAUGGCAGAUGGGGUUAUCCAGAUCAAAACUAUGUCCUGUGUUUAACGUGUGUUGGUACAGAAGGGAUCUGGGGUCUUUUGAGCGGAUAUUGUAUUUGUGUUCUUUGAUUCGGUUUUCGAUUUUUCUGCCUGUUUCUCCUACAUAAACGGAUUCACAAUCGUUGCAGGCAACCGAAUAAAUCGCGUUGCUUUUUUGUUGAACAUCAUGUUUAACUCCUGGUUUGGUAAUGGGGUUCCUCAGUAUAUGUCCUGUUGUGCUUGUGCUGCGAUAGGUGAACUGGAUACCAUAUUUCCUCAAAUCAUGGGCUAUUCGCUGAUUCGCUGAUUCUAUUGACCGCGAGGGUAACCUUCUUGAACGGGAUGAAUGUAUGUUUUCUUAUAAAGUCUGGUGGGUAUCCAAAUGUUCGUAGGUUAUUGUAAAUAUUCUCUUUUUCUUUUUCUUUUAAAGCUCGAAGGGAACAAUGGGUAUGGAGUCUCUUAGUUAGGGUUUUAACAACUGAUAUUUUGUAAGAGACUGGACUGUAGGAGUUAAACGGGAUAUAUGAUGGUUUGGCGGUGUCUUUGUAAUAGACAGUUGUUUGAAAAUUAUUCCUAUUUCUAAAAAUGAGGGCAUCCAGAUAAGGUAAGAUGUGGUUUUUAUAUACACUAAAGGGUUUUAAAUCAGCAUUAGUUACAUUUAAACUUUCUUUGAAAUAAUCUAUAAUCUGUUCUUUGCCAAAAUCUUCUUCAACAUUUAAUAUUUUAAUAGUAGGAGACCUACCUUUGGGGACUUUUGGAGUUAGCUUAGACCUAAGAUGUUCAUUUUCAUUUAUGAAUUUUACUAUUGUGUUUACAUUUUCCAUUGUGGGAACUUCUAUGGUGCAUCCCUUUUUGUUUGGAAUAGCAUUUGCUCUAAUUAUUUUUAGAUUAGACAAAGAAAUAUUUUCUUUAAGGAAUUGCACGAUGUUGGUAUUUUCUGGGAGUUUUGAUUCAAUUACUAUUUUUCCAAUUAGAUUAGGGGAACUUUUUGGCUGGGCUAUGGAGGUUGGUGCAGUUGGUAGGUUAGAGGCCAAAACUGCACUGUAACUUUUCUCACUUUUUUCCAUUAAUAUUUUCAAUUUUUCAUCGAUUAGAGCAUUAUUUUCACUAAUUAAGUCUUGAGUAGAUUUUUUUAAAUCAUCAAUUUUUUCUUCAAAGUUUUUUUGAAUAUUUUCAAUAAUAUUUUCUUGAUUCUUUAAUAAAUCAUCCAAUUUAGUAUUAAAAGCCAUAUUUUCUACAUUUUCUGGUAAAAAUUUUAUAAAUUCAUUCAUAUCUGUUUGAAUUAAAUUUAAAAUCUUUUUUUUGAGCAUCCAUUUUCGGAUUUUUGGCAUUUAAGAAUGUGGAAAUAUUUCCCAUAAGUGUUUCCAGCAUAGGAAACAUUUCUCUACCCAAAGAAUUUAUUUCCAUUUUUAAAUUAAAAAGUAUACCAAAAAAAUGGCACACAAAAUAAAAUCUCGAUGAACGCAUCGAGGUUGUUUCUUGUUGUGUUCCAUGUUGAUAGUGUGGAGGAUUUCCUGCUUGAUGAUGUUGAGGAAGCGGAGGACUCCUCGAUGGCAGUCAUCAUCUCGAUGUCCUGUGCAGAGGGCCGAGACUUCGCUGAUUGAGGUCUUACGGAACCCCUAGGUGCCCGCAAGGGCGGAGCAGGUGUCACAGGUGGAGGGGCAGGUGGCGUCUCCUCCGCAGGUGAGGCCGGGGGCGCUGUUGGUGAUGGCCGGGGUGCGCCUGCUGGUUGGAUCGCAGCUCGGGCCGCGGGCGAAGCGCCGGAGAUCGCCAAGGGAGGCGCCGGUGCUGGAUGCUGAGACGUUGGCCUCUGAGGCGGUGCAGGGGCGGUCGAUGGUGGGACGCCGGCAGGGGAGGCUGGUGGUGCCGAACUGGUGGUGUUAACCCGCCCUGCCAGUAGGGGGCAGUUGGCCCUGAGGUGCCCCUGGCCGUGGCGUCUGGAACACUUGAUGCCGGUGGACAGAUAAGCGGGCCAAGCCUCGCCUUUGAUGGUGAUGUCGAGGCGGGUGGGGAGCCUCUCGGUGGUCACUCCUUCGUGGAAGACGAUGAACGCCUCAUGGCUGCUGUCGGUGUAGGUGUAUGGGCCGGCCUUCAUCAUUUUGGGCGCGAUGGAUGUAGUGCGCCCAUAGGGCCUAAGGGCGUUGAUGAUGGCUGCGUCCUCCACGAAGAAGGGGAGGUUGCCCACCGUUAUCCUCUCCGCUCUUUUGCGGAAAGGGAAAGCCCUGAGGAGAGUGCCCUCAACCUCAAGGCCGUUGUUUAUGAGGCGCUCGGCGAGGCCUCUGUUUGCCAGCCCCAGGAGUUGGUGCCCGUUUACCUUGGAGACUUGACGACUCCGGCGGUUCCUCCAAGUAGCCUGUCCAGCGCCCCCAGGUAAUGGAAGGGCUGCAGUUCGGGGCCGUGUUCCAGGUAGACGCAGUGCUCCUCAGCAGAGGACGCCUGCCGCGCCCUGGCCUCCGCGAUGUGGGCCCUGGUUGUCGGGAUCUCCUGUGCCCGCGGCACCGAACGCGCUGAUGAUUGCGUUCGGCGACUGCUCCUGGCACCUCCGAUGUUGGAGGAUGGUGCAGUUGCUGUAGGCGAAUUCGAUGAUUCGCGGCGCCUCUUCUUGGUCUUCACGACAGUAAAGUCAUUGUCUGUCCCGGGGUUCAUGUCUUCGUCACAAUCUGCCCAGUUUCUAAUAGCAAGGGCAGCGCUAUUGGAUGACGAAGUUGCCGCUAAGCCGGACGUGACGUCGACGCGCGCGGCGGCCAGAUUUACAUUUCCGCCGUUAGCCGGCGGAUUUACAUACUCUUGAGUAUUAGAGUUUUCUUUAUAGAUUUCUCUAUAAAGUUCGUUUUUCGCUGAAUUCUCGCUACCGGUUGGAGGUGGGAUGCUGGGCCUUCCAGGCCUUUGUCCAGCAGAUCCUGGGCUCCUUGGCGAUGCCGAAUUUGGCAUGUUUAAGGAUGCAUUCUACAGCAGUCAGUUGGCUGUCAGAAUUGGUCCUCCGGGACUCAUGCCUCCCCUGCCACAGCCUUCUCACAUACAGGUGAGCUCCUCUUCAAUCAUUAACAUUGUUCCCCCCUACAGCAGACAUCCUUUCAUUCCAUUUACAUUUAUUUAGACCACCAGCUAGCUAUAUAAAACCAAUUACAUUAUAUUUGUCUUCCGCAUCCUCAACAUAUAUAUAUAUAUAUAUAUAACAAUAAAUAGUUGUUUAGUUUUAUGGUUUAGUUUUGUAUUAAAAUUAUCUUUAUUAUUUUGAGUAUUUAAAUUCAAAUUAUAAAAUUUGUAAAUUGUUAUUAUUUAGUAGAGAGAGAGAGAGAGAGAAAAAAAAAUCCUUUACUUCUAACACAUCAUUCAGUUAAUUAUAUAUUUAUAAUUAAUAACAAUAAAAUUUAACAACGUAACGUCUUUUGCAUCGGCUUUUACACAUCAUUUAGACAUACUCUAACCUAUAUAUAGAAUAAUAGAAGUGAGAAUAGUUAGUGAAAAGAGAGAAAGACAGAACCAUGCACUUUUAGUCAAACUAAUAAUAAGAAAGAGAAAAGUUUUGUAAUGAAGGUAGAUAAGAUAUAUAUAUAUAUAUAUAUAUAUAUAUAUACUAGUAGAAAAGCCCGUCCAAGGACGGGAUCGGCUAGAGCAGGUGGAUUGAGAGGUUUGAAUCGGUUCAAGUUUGACUUUUCCUUUGGAACAGCAUUAAUGAAAAGUUUUACUGUAUGUCGUUUGUUCCAAUUCGAAAUACUUUGCUCUACAUUUUGGGCAAACUUGAUCAAGUUGGCCACAAAAGUGCAGGGGAAUUUGAUCUUCCUCGAAACAUGUCCCUGUUGGCAAAGGUAGAUUAUCUCCCUGUCGAAUUCUUUGCAUCCUCAGCCUACUGUUUUCCCUUUGAAAUAUGGUGUCAGGGAGUCGCUCAAGGACUGGCUUCAGCUGCUCAAGAGCCAAGGAUAUUUUCUUCGGUGAUUCUUCCUCCCGAGAGCUUUCCUCCUGCGCUCUGGGAACAGGAGGGAGGGGCAAGGUAGGAACAGCUAAUUUAGUUUCGCUAACUUUGCUGGAGAAGGACAUUUUUCCCGCUGGUGAAUUUGCGACGCUUGUAGCAGGCGUGGACACCUCGGGUGCCGAAAUAUUUUUGGAGGGGGUCUCCUGAGGCUUGCCAAGUGCAGCUGGGGGAGUCACGGUAAGUGCUGCAGAGGAUGACGAUUGAGUGGUAGGAGGAAGGUGCGCUAGGUCCUGCCUGGGUGUUUGUUGAUGAGUGGGACGUUCCUCCCUGUCUCUCCUGGGGCAGCUGGCUAGCCGAUGUCCCUGGCGAUGGCACAUGCUGCAUUUCACGCUUAGAGGGGGAGAGGGUGGGACAUAGUUAGGUUAGGUGGGGUUCUGGGUGAAUCAUGGCAUACAGUGGUCACAAAGUGUCCUUGUUAGCGUCCAUGACUUCAUCUAGCUCCAUGAAGUUACAGAGGGUGUCCGCGAGGUUCUUCACCUCCCCUACCAGGCACUUGAUCAGCUCUGUCUGCUGCUCAAUGAAGCAGACAAGGUGCAAGAUUUGAGGAAGGGCUGGCCGAGAGAGAGCAGGAUCUGGUAGUGGCGGGAGAGGACCAUGUUAUUCUCCUCCACCAGAGCCAUGAUGUCCACCGAGGGUUGAAAAGGCUUGGAGGCCUUCUUCUUGGAGGGAUCCAUGAUGGGAGAGCAGAAAGGCAGAGAUGUUUCCAUAGCAAGUGCUAUCUGGAAACUGAUCUCUGAGAAACUGAUGAGGUGAUCUGAUUAUACAAGGUCAUGGAGACUGAAAAUUCAUGGAUUAAAUUUAUAAUCUUGGUAGGGUUGUAAUAUAAGUCCUGUCUUGAGGCUCCCAUACAUUCCAAGGGGUGGUCCUGCAGAUGGUGCAUUGUGGGAAGACACCAACCUGGAAAAGGAGCGAUUCUUUCUAUUCCGGGUUAAUUGGACUUUUAAAGCAAGGUCUUCUAACCCCUAUGGCAGAAUGCCACUUCCAGUGGCAAGGGACCCUAGGAUCUGGCAGCAAAGAUGUCUUGCAGGGGUGGAGGAAACAUAGAGAUGGCAGGGGAACAGCGUCUGGGAGCAGUGAGUGGCAGGAGUCUUGGCUGGGGAGGAAAUCCAGUAGGUGAGGACAAUGAAGGCAGCAGGUCCUGGAAGCCUAGAAUUUGAGAGCCCUAGACCUCAGGAAAGAGCAGCCAGAGGCUCUCGCCUCAUGUUUGUCCGGAAGGCCCUUGGCACAGCAGUUGGCACACUUGGUGGUGUGCUGGUUGGCUAGGGAUGGACAGGCACGGCCCUCGUGACCUUCUUCACCGCAGUGGAAGCACUUUGGAGCCCUGGAGCAUUGUCCGGAGUUGUGACUAAAAUAACAAUAUUGUCAUCAAAGUUCUGUUUUAGAUUAUUGAGUUUGAAAGCCAAAUUUCCUUAAUUACUUAUGUUGGCCUCAAGGUCUACAUUUGUAUCAAAUGUUGAGGACAAUGGCACUUCCAAUAUUACAAUUCUUAUAUGUAACAUUGUGAUUUAUCCAUGGUCCAGGGGACAAUUUGGUGGGGGAUGUUUUUUUCUUUUUUACUUUGAAAAAUCUUCUUCAACGUAUUUCCAAGAAAUUCUGCAGCUUUUUUGACGACUACUUUAGCUGCAGCUUUUGCGGCGGAUCCUCCCACUUCUGCUGCCAAGGCCUGCUUUGGAGGAGCAAAGGCAAAACAGCCAAAACCACCGCUUCUUCCAUUGAAGGGUGGACCGCCUCCUCCUUCUUGAUUCUUUGUCUCCAGAUUGGUUCUCCUCCAGUCUCUUGGCCACCUCUUGUGGAGGUAGGAGGCCAGAUGCUGCGCCAGGUCGUGGAAGUUGGUCCUCAGAGCAGCGUGGUACUGGAGCUGCUCGACCCCCACCAGCUGGCCAUUGAGCUCCAGGGCCUCUCCGCUCACCUCCAGGAACCUCCGGAACACCUCCCUCAGCUCCUCCACUUGGCCUGAGGGGAACUGGCCCACCUGGGAGUCCUCCAGGAAGGCCUGGCAGUAGGCCAGGGGGCCGGCGUUCACCUUUCUCCAGCUGGGAUCUGGUCUCCACCAGGGUCCCGUCCUGCAGAGAGAUCCGGUAGUCCACUACCAGUUUAUUGCCCAGACUAGGGGUAGCUGAUCCCUUGCCCUGCUCCACCACUCUCUUGCGGACUCCUCCAUCCCCGGAGAGGUCCUCCCAGAUCUCAGCCUGGUCUUGGGUGUCCAUGGGGCCUGAUGAUGGGUAGGCCAUGUACAGCCAGUGAGUGUUCUGGCCAAAACGUCCAUACCAACCAGGGGUCUUGUUGUUGGCAAUGGCAUACUCCAGGCUUGGCAUGGUGAAGAUGUAUUUCACUCCGCCUAAAGACGCGGCGUCACCCAAUCCGGAGAGGAAUAGGGAGAUUGGCUCCGGAUUGUGGGUUCCCGCGUGCUUCAUUGCGCGGAUGAAGUCUCUUUCAGGGACUGUGGUACCACGGGGGCUCAAAUCUGAGAGCUCAAGAACUCUCGCGAUGGCGUGGAGCCCCGCGUAAUAUGCAAAUGUCCCGGGGGAAAUCCUUUUGGCGAAGGAGGUGCCGGAUGCAGUGAGGCGCAGGUAGGUUUCCUCCACCAGGGUGUUCCACCCGAAGAACCCUGGACGCACAAAGUUAUAGCCACGCUUUAUGCUACCACUGUUAGAAUGGUUUUAGGUUUUAUUUUAAGCUGUAUUUUUGCUUGUAUGUUUCUUUUAAGACACACAGGUCUUACAGAGGAUUCUCCUUGGGGUUACAAGGCGGAGAAUGUUUUGUUGGUCCAGUUCCACAGGCGGUCCUGUCGGUGUCUCGGAAGAAAUCGGCUCCUGGGCGGCUGGCUGAGUCGAGUGUUCCGGCUCCUCCAGGGCCGCAGAGUUGCUUCCAGGUGUCUUCUUCUUGAUCCUCGUAGAUGGUGCGCUCUUUUGGGCCCGUUUUUCAACCGUAGAGCAAUCCUGGUGGUGUUUGGCGCUUCUGCAGGUCCGCAGGUCUUUGAAGCUUUGUUGGCAGACCGUGCAGUCAAAAACCACGUUGUUGAUCUUGUGUAGUACACGAAGGUGCUUCACCAGAUCGUUGUGCUUUUUGUAGACACCACUGCGGGUUACUCCCACCAUCCUGUAACACUCGGGACAUUUAAAGACCUCAGGUAGCUGAUUGCUGAGGUAAACCAGGUAACCAGGUAGUUCCAGGCCGGCAGGGAGUCAGGAAGUAGGGGCAGGGCUGUCGGGCUGAAGUCUUGUACUCCAAGCAGAAGGGCUGUCUGUAGCCUGUGUAGCAUAAAAGCUGGACAGGAGAAGAGGAGGUGAUCCACAGUCUGUGACUCUUCCAGGCAGUGAGGACAUGUUGGAUCUCUAUGCCAGAGAUCUGCCAGAACGUGGCCGUGACCGGUAAGGAUGGUAGUGGUGGCCAUCCCAAGACGUAUUUUGGACAGGAAUGACCUAAGGCGGAUUGGGGAGGUCGCAAAUCUUUUUAGUUUUCUGUUAUGGUAAUCUUGGGUGUAGACUAAGGUCCAAGCUUCCAGAGCAGAUGAGUGGGCACGGCUGCGGGCAAAGCUUUGGGGAAUGAUGGAGUAGGAUUGUUCCAGGUUAGAGAUUGCUGCAGUCUUUGCUGCCUGGUCAGCCAGUUCAUUGCCUGAAAUUCCACUGUGGCCCUUUAGCCAACAGAGGCUGACCUGAGGUGCUUGGUCUAGCGCUAGAAUUAUCUCCGCAAUUAGAGCCGUUUGGGCAGGACCAGGAGUACAUAUAGUGGCCAGUGCAGAUCUGCAGUCAGACGCUAUAGCAGUGCUGUAGUUGUAAGGUUUUAUUCUUACGUCUCAUUAGAACAUCUAUAUCCUGAUCCUAGCUAACUCAGGGGUUAAACCCAGGUACAUACAUAUUUGUAAUUUAUUAUACAUAGUAAUAACAAUACGCCUUUUUUGAAUAAUAACCACUGUAGAUUAUAUUUUAAACACAUACAUUCAAAAUCUAUAACACACACCAAGGUUUUACAUGUGAUAUGUGGUUAAAUAUGAAUAUCAACACACAUUGUUCAAUAUCCACACUCGUUUUAUUCGGCAUAAGAAAAAUUUUACACAAAAAUGAAAACAUUCUUUAUAUGUGGAUAGCAUCAGUGGGCAUAGGGAUAUUGGGACAUUAGAUUAUCUCAUCUUACAAAAUUUUUAAAUCCUAUGAAGAAGUGACUGAGAAUCUACGACUUGGUAAUUGGUAAUAAAUUGACUUACCUAGUAUCUCGACUACAUACCUCUCCUGAUAAGAAUUCUAUCUGUUCCUUCCGAAAGCUUGCCCCCAGCCCCGUUGGACGCUCGAUAAAAACUAAAAUCUAGACUGCCGUCUUUUCCCUACAGCGCCCUCAAUCUCAAUCAUUUCCUACAGAGUAAUAAAACUUGAAUAUACAAAAAUUCUCGGAAUAUUAAAAAUAAUAAUAUUAUUAUAUUUUAAAAAAUUAAGGAAUAAAAUAAUAUUUUAUUAUAUUUUUAUUUUAAAGGAAAAAUUAUGAAUUAGUAAAUAUACUUGCUCGACUUAUGAGAAAUCAAUUUAGAAUAAAAUAAAUAUUAACGGAAAUUUAAAAUAUAUCUUUCUUAUUGAGAGGUAAUUUAGAUUAACAAUGAAAUCAAAUAAAAUUUAAGAUGCCUGCCCCUCUGGGAAAUUUAUAUACUAAUUUCUUCUUUAAGAAAUCCAAAAAUAUUACUAAAUAUGCCCCAUCUAUCAAAAUGUGAUGUCACAAGUUAUAUACAAAAUUAAAAGAAGGAAGAAAGGAAAGAAAAAAAAAAAAGGAGGUGAAGAGAUGGUUUGGUUUAACAAAGACGAAUGCUCGAAGUCCUUUUCUUUCUUGUCGAGGCGGCUUCUCCACUGUCCAUCAGCUUUCUGUUUAUGCUGUGGGUGAACUUCUGCUUCUGUUUGCAUCGGGCUUCUGGCUACUUAAUCAGGGCCGAUGUCAUCCUCCUACAGCAGAUCUUGGGAUACGCGUCCAGGGCUGUGUCCUCCCCUGGCAGAUCUUGGGAUUCACGUCCAGGGCUGUGUCCUCCCCUGCCUUGGCCUUUGAACCACCGUCGGCCAUUGCUGUGGGACUUCCAUCUGGACACCAAACACUUUCGGCGAGACACUGCGUGUAUAUAUAUAUGAUGUAAAAGAAUGUUUACAUCUUUGUUGGGUCUGUUUGGUGGAAAAUCUGACCCAACAAUUCCUCCCCUGCCAGAGUAAAACAAAAUGUGUUUAUUCCAAUUCAGAUCUGUUCUUACUCUAAGAGAAAUAUGAAAUUGGGAGAAAUGCAUUUUUUUUUUUUAUGAUACCAGUAUGUAAUCACCGACACUCAGGCAAGGGGGAAACAAACGGGCCAUGGAACUGUCCACUUCCCUGAAGGUCUUGUGGAUCGGGGAACCUCGAAGAAUGAAGUCGAGUCUUGUGUAGACACUCUGCGUCUUGUCCAUGUGUCAGGUUUUCCGGUCUCGUUUUUAACUCCUUUGAUGAAAUUCUCGAUCAAGGAAAAGAGUGUUUCCCUGUCGGGUGCAGCUGUCCACUUUCCAUCCCACUCUUCCUGAAAGUAAGUGAGGGAUUUUCAGGGCGGGCGCUGCUGGAGUUCAUCAACUGGCUGUGAAGCUGGAGGAGGGGUGACCGGAGUAUCCUGUGGCAAGUGGGCAGGGUCGUCAGGUGGGGCGGCUGCUUGAAGAUCAACGCUGUCCAAAACCUGCGGCGUUUGCACGUUGGGAGGGUCGCUAUUUACGACCGGCAGCCGUAGGUUGUCUGUUGCUUCCUCUUGUUGGACCAAGGGACUCUGACGGCUGUGCAGGGAUGGAUGCUGGAGGGGCGUAUUUCUUCAGAGGAAGUACCCCUUUGAUCUUCCUCGGCGGCGUUCUCUGGUAGGGGGGGGGACAAAAGUUGUUUGGCCCGCUUCGCUGGUAGCCAAACUUGUCCCGUGAGCCUCCGGUCUGAAGGGUGUAGUCUCGGCGGAGAGGUCACUCACAGGGGGCGGGGGUGUUUUGUUGGUCCAGUUCCACAGGCAGUCCUGUCGGAGUCUCUGAAGAAAUCGGUUCCUGGGCCGCUGGCUGAGUCGAGUGUUUCGACUCCUCCAGGGCCGUAGAGUCGCUUCUAGGUGUCUUCUUCUUGAUCCUCUUAGAAGGUGCGCUCUUUUGGGCCCGUUUUUCAACCGUAAUCAUGCCAUAGCAAACUCUUUCAAAAUCUGUAGAGAUAUUUUGCCCAUAGAAGAGAAGCAAAAAAUACUUUUGAUUCCAGCAGGUUUAAAUACAAAUUGAAAUAAGAUUAAUAAACUAAUGUAAAUAUGUGAAAGAGUUGUAUAAAAGUGAAUUCCUGCUCCGCCUUUGGAAGGAGGGAUGAAGAGCACCUCGUUGCUGGCCUGCAGAGGCAGGCCAGGCCAUUUCUUCCCUAGUCUCUUCAUCAGCAGGUCCACUUCCCUGAAGGUCUUGUGGAUCGGGGAACCUCGAAGAAUGAAGUCGAGUCUUGUGUAGACGAAGGUCUUGGUGGCGUCGAUCUUCUGCCAGGGAGCGAGGAGGCUGCUAUGGAUUUUUUCUGCAUCUUCAUUGAUUCCCUUGAUGGCUUCCUCAGGGUUUCUUGUCUUGAUAAAUCCGGUGGGUACUCCAAGGUGACAGUACGUGUCCUCUUCUCUCAUUGCUGAGAUCGGCUGUUCUUGGAUGCAGAAGGUCCUGGUCAGGGUAGUCCUCUUUUUCCUGCAGUCCAAGUGAAGAGUCGCGCAUUUGGGGCCCUUGAAGUGGAGUCCGAUCUUUCCCGCCAGAUCGCCGGUGGUGUCCAGGGGCGCUUGUAGAGACUCCUUGUCCUUGACCAUGAUAAGGAGGUCAUCGGCAUAGGCCAGCACCGACACAUAGUGCCCGAGUAAGCAGACACCAUGGUCCUUCGCCAUCGAGGCGAGGGUGCAGACUAUUACCUCUAUGGCCACGUUGAAGAGGGUUGGGCUUCCAGGGCAGCCUUGCUUCACCCCGCGUUUAAAGGGGAUGGGCAAUGUGGUUCCCAGCAGGGUCCUGAUCUAGGUAGAGGAGUUCGUGUACAGGUCCCUGAAUACAGCGAUUACCUUCUUAGGGAUACUAAAUGCAUCUAACACAUUGAAGAGGUUUUCGUGCGGUACCGAGCCGAAUGCAUUUUCAAGAUCCAGCCAGGCGAAGCAAGCUUGUCUGCUGGUUCUCUUGGUCUCCUCGAUGGCACUCUGGACCACAAAAUUAUGUUCCAGGCACCCCUCGAACUCCAUGAAGCCCUGCCUUGGAGAGCUGUCCCGUCGUCGCUGCCCAUCUCCUGAGCUUAUCAGCCAGGACCGCGGUGUAAAGUUUUGCGAUCGUGUUGCCCAGCGUGAUAGGCCUCCAGUUCCCUAGGUCCUCGGCGUCCCCUUUCUUGUGGACCAAGAUAGAGGAGCUUUCCUUCCAUGAAGGGGGUACCGCCCUCAUCUGGAAGAUCUGGGUGAGGAUGGUGGCAUUGGGAUCCACCCGUUUCAGUUCCUGGUAGCUGAUGCCAUCGGGACCAGGAGCAGUGUUUCCCAUCUUGAGAAGGCGGUACCAUACUGCGUUGGAAGAGAUGGGUUCUUCCAACUGGGCUCCGUCCUGGGGGGCGAAGUCCUUGAGGAGAUCUGGGUCGGGGCUGAACUCGGUGUUGUCCCCAACCAUGCGUUUCUCGAAGUGUUCUUCGAUCAUUUGGAUGGGGAUGGUGCAGCCCGGGGAGCGUUGGCCCAAUUUUGGCAUUUAAGAAUGUAGAAAUAUUUUCCAUUAGUUUUUCCAACACAGGAAACAUUUUUUUUCCUAUUGAAUUUAUCCCCAUUUUUAAUUUAAAUAAUGUAUUACCAAAUAAUUUGGCAUACAAAAUAAAAUUACCAACCUUAAAUUAAUUGGAAUAUUUUGUAAACAAACCAUUAUACGAGUCACCACAGAUUCUGUACAUCGUAUCAAAACUUCCAAUGAGAUUUCUCUACACACUGCUUGAAUCUCAUUCCAAAGAAUGUCUAGGUUACGUGGUUUACGUUUGUACACCCCAUCUUUUACUGUGCCCCACAAGAAGAAAUCCAGUGGUGUAAGGUCUGGAGAGCAUGCUGGAAACUCGAUUGGCCCCCUGCGUCCUAUCCACUGGCCCGACAAAUUUUGAUCCAGAUAAGCUCGUACAUCCCUGUGAUAGUACGGCGGAGCACCAUCUAGUUGAAAAUAAAAAUUAUCAUUACCGUAUAAUGCACGAAUGGCAGGAAAUAUGGAAUCAGCAAGCAUUGUUAGGUAAUUAAUACCAGUUACAGUGCCUUCAAAUCGAAAAGUAUACAUUUUUUUGAAGCACCCUGUAUUAGGGGGCGUUUUGUUGGUCCAGUUCCACAGGCAGUCCUGUCGGUGUCUCGGAAGAAAUUGGCCACUGGCUGAGUCGAGUGUUCCGGCUCCUCCAGGGCCGCAGAGUCGCUUUUAGGUGUCUUCUUGCUCCUCGUAGAUGGUGCGCUCUUUUGGGCCCAUUUUUCAACCGUAGAGCAAUCCUGGUGGUGUUUGGCGCUUCUGCAGGUCUUUGAAGCUUUGUUGGCAGACCGUGGCUGCCACCAAGGCUGAUCUUCUUCGGUGUCUUACCGGCGUUGGGGAGCUUGAUAGUAAUGUCUCCCAACGUUGGGUUGCGGACCCACUAAAUGCCGAUCCUUUUUGAGAGGCGUCGGGAAGCGUUUCUGGCAUCACUGCAGAGUGAGGUGAUGUCUCCACCAACCCUGGCAAAAUCACCGUCAAGUUUCCCCGACAGAUACCCUGCCAGGUCCUCUUCCAGUGCAGGCCGUCCCAGCUUCCUCUCCGCAACUCUUUUAAGAAGGCUUUUGGCGAGUGCAGAGGUUUCAGAGUCUGGGCUCGUGAGGAGCCGGAAGGCGUGUUGGAUCUUGGCUAAAUCGGUCCUGUCACCAAACGGCACCAUUCCUGCUCCCCCUUUGGAAGGAGGGAUGAAGAGCACCUCGUUGCUGGCCUGCAGAGGCAGGCCAGGCCAUUUCUUCCCUAGUCUCUUUAUCAGCAGGUCCACUUCCCUGAAGGAGGUCUUGUGGAUCGGGGAACCUCGAAGAAUGAAGUCGAGUCUUGUGUAGACGAAGGUCUUGGUGGCGUUGAUUUUUUCCACAUCCUCCUUGAUUCACUUGAUGGCUUCUCCGGGGUUCCUUGGCUUGUUGAAUCUGGUGGGUACUCCAAGGUGACAGUACGUGUCCUCUUCUCUCAUUGCUGAGCUUGGCUGUUCUUGGAUGCAAUGUCAGCAAUGGGUAUGCUAUUGCAUGCUCCGGUUUAUGGACCGAAAGGUCUGGGUGGCCACUGCUCCUAGGAUGUUCUUGGAUGCAGAAGGUCGUGGGCAGGGUAGUCCUCUUUUUCCUGCAGUCUAAGUGAAGAGUCGCGCAUUUGGGGCCCUUGAAGUGGAGUCCGAUCUUUCCCGCCAGAUCGCCGGUGGUGUCCAGGGGCGCUUGUAGAGACUCCUUGUCCUUGGCCAUGAUAAGGAGGUCAUUGGCAUAGGCCAGCACCGACACAUGGUGCCUGAGUAAGCAGACACCAUGGUCCUUCGCCAUCGAGGCGAGGGUGCAGACUAUUACCUCUAUGGCCACGUGGGGGGGGGUUUUGUUGGUCCAGUUCCACAGGCGGUCCUGUCGGAGUCUCGGAAGAAAUCGGCUCCUGGGCCGCUGGCUGAGUCGAGUGUUCUGGCUCCUCCAGGGCCGCGGUGUCGCUUCCAGGUGUCUUCUUGCUCCUCGUAGAUGGUGCGCUCUUUUGGGCCAGUUUUUCAACCGUAGAGCAAUCCUGGUGGUGUUUCUGCAGGUCUUUGAAGCUUUGUUGGCAGACUGUGCAGUCUAAAACCACGUUUUUGAUCUUGUGUAGAACACGAAGGUGCUUCACCAGAUCGUUGUGCUGCUUGUAGACACCACUGCGGGUUACUCUCGCCAUCCCGUAACACUCGGGACAUUUAACCCUUUAGGCGCCGGCCGCUUUCAAGGUCAUUACCAUAUAAGCACCAGCCUGCAAAAUAUUGAAAACGGUGCACUUUUGAUUUUCAUUUUUAAAACUAUUUAAUGCCUCGCAAAUUUCAUACAAAAAUUAUGUAGUAUGCAAUAGAAUAUGUACUUUUAGAUGCAUUGAAUAUUAAUUUAAUAAAUCAUAAAGAUAUAUUUUUAAAAAUAUAUUUAAUAUGCAAUUUUGGAAAAAAUAAAAAAUAUUUACAUUUUAAUUUCAAAUUGGGGGUAUAUAUAAUCAAGAUAUAUUAUAUUUGAAAGUUUUAUAAGGAAAUAGGAACAAUUUACUUUAUUUACAAGUGUGUUUCAGGGCGCAUAUUGCAUGAAGGCCUUUAUGACAUCCAGUGCAAAUAGUUCGGGAUCUUUUUCGGUUUUGUGGAGUGCUGCACUCCACACACCUCAUUUCCCUUUUUUGAGGCAAACUCUGGACUUGAAUCUGGCUGGUUGAAGGAUUGCAAGUUUCUUGAAUGUUUUCCACCAGGCUUUUUAUGACGGAGAUAUUGAAUUUCUGUCUAGACAACAGGGGAGAAUCUUUGAAAUGUUGAAGAUAGAUGAUGUAAAAAUCCGGUGGGCUGGCGUCGGGAGACUUCACUGGAAUGUCCGAGUUCCUGAUAAAAUUUAGGCCUAGGGUGUCCUUCAUUUCUUGUAGGAAUUGUUGGGUUUUGUUGGAGGUAUGGGAAGAAGCUUUGUCGUGAUGAAGGAACACUUUGUCCAUUUCCCCUGGGUAAAGGUCCUUCAGUUGUUCGAUGACAGGUUUCAGAACGCAUUCUAUAUAGAAUUCUGAGUUCACCUUCACCUUCGAUGGAACCUUUAUGAGCGGAAGGACUCCACGGCCAGUCAUUACCCCGACAACCAUGAAACCUUUAGGGAAAGUUUCGGAGCAUUGGUGAACCCAAUUAUCCGGGACCUGAUUGCCUCUUUUGAUGUAACAGAUCUUCCGGAUUCCAUUGCAAUACGUCACAUACAUCCAUGCUUCGUCCAAUGUUGCAGUAUAUUCCGAUCUGGAACCGGCCAGGUGUUCCUCGUAGAGCUUCCGGGCAUUCGUUGCACGGUUUUUCAUGUGGAAAGGGGUGAGCUUGUGAACCUUGCCUUUUCGUCGGGUAUCCAGUUCCAAAUCUUUGUGAAUGAUGUUAUUUAUCGUUUUUAGCGAUGUUCCACACAUUCUGGAAAGUUGGCGCUGAGAUGGUGGAUUUUCAGUAGUUGCUAGCCGCUUUACCUUGGAAACCGUGGCGGGGGUCCGCACCGGACGUGGUCGAUCGACUUGAAAUUUUUGCCCAUUGAAUUCAGCUUCCCUUUUCUUUCCGAUGCCAUUUACUACCCUACAUAUUGUAGCUUUGCCAACAUCUAGUCCUUCUGCUUUUAGCUUUUUCACUAUGACGCUAUAACUGUUUCCUUCUUUGGAAAGGGUCCGAAUUGUUUGUUCGACUUGGAGCGUUAGUCUCUCUCCCCCCAUGUUGCAAAAAUCAUGAUACCUGAUGAAAAUGAAUUCUCCAGAAGAUUCUAGAUCUAUUGGAACCAGUGUCGUGUGCAGCAUGCCUGCACGUGCAAAACGCGAGCGCGCGAAAAUCGUUUCAUUUGAAAGGAAACACCCUCCGUAAUUGGCAGUUUUUAUGGCAGCUGGAAAUCCUUUUCUAUUGGCCCUCACAGUUCCAGUCAGGUAAGUGCCAUUCUUGGCCAGAUCCCGAGCGAGAUCAAUGCUCGUGAAGAAAUUGUCUACCACAAUAUGAUGCCCCUUGUUCAACAAAUUAGAAUUGGUUAAAAGCUUCAUUGGAACAUCAUAUGAGAGACUUUUGUGGAUCUGGCCAAGUUUGCCUUUAUAUGGCUCGAACUGGAGGCAGUAUCCUGUCUCGGAUUCACAUACCAUCCAGAGCUUGAUCCCAAAGCGACCAUGAUGCUUUCCCGGCAUAUAUUGUCUGAUAUAGGUUUUUAACUUUUAAUUUGACAAUUUUAAUUUAUAUUUAGACAUUUUUCAUUUUAUUUUAGACAUUUUCAAUUUUAAUUUAGACAUUUUUCAUUUCAAUCCAGACAUUUUUCAUUUUAAUUUAGACACAUUGGCUUUUUAUAGAAAACUCCCUGUGUCUAAAUUAAAAUGAAAAAUGUCUAAAUUGAAAUGAAAAAUGUCCAAAUUAAAAUUGAAAAUGUCUAAAUAAAAAUGAAAGUGUCUAAAUUAAAAUGAAAAAUGUCUAAAUAUAAAUUAAAGACAUAGAUCGCGAAAGAAAGCGGCUUCCUUAGCGCUUCCUGCGUCCGGUGGAGUUGUUGAGAGUUUUCGUGAGGAUCCCCAUAUUUAUGACAUCAGGGCCACCGCUGGGGCAGUAGCUGCGGGUAUGAGCCUUGUCACCCGUCUCUCCGCAGAUGUCGCACACGUGGGACCGCAACACGGGACAUAGGAUGUGGCCGGUGACUGGGUCCCGCAGCUCGUGAGUGGCGAUAUACUCCCGCGUUUCGCCGUUCCGCGCGCAGAAGGCGCAGUGUAAGCGUCUGAUCAGCGGCGGGUAGGUGACAGGGGUCGGCAACAGUGGGGAUGUAGGGGAACUGCUGGGGACAGGGGACGUGUCGGGCUUCCGUCCUACUGUGAUUCCAAACUGUCUCAGCCUUCUUAUUUCAGGAUCCAAAUCCAGAGGACUGGGCUCUCCCCAGCAACCUGUCGUCUGACCCGGGGCCUCUCCUCCAUCUGAGCUACUGGACGCCGAAGUGGCUGACGAGGUCCAGGAUCCGCUGACAGGGGACGAGGGGUAGUUGCUGGCAGAAUAUAAAGAAAUGUUUAGCUGUAAUAUGACUCAAUGUGAGGCCCGAUAUGGGGAGCAGAAGUGGAGGGGGGAGAUCAUGUGACGUCGGCCGAUGUAUCGGCCGACUGGCGCUAGCUGACUCAAGGUCAUUGACGACCGAUCGGCCGGCUGGCGCCUAAAGGGUUAAAGACCUCAGGUAGCGGGAACGGCAUCCUAAACGGAUCACAAAGAGCAGGGGCAAGGUUGUGUACAUGUGUCACAUUUGUGUGAGAACCUGGUAGGCGUGUGGUGUCAGACGGGCUUAAAACCAGAGCAUCGUGUUUGUGUCACGUGUUACACAGUGUGCAUCAGCGACCUGGUUGUUAUUACCAGGAGGUAAACAAACCUGGUCACGUGACAAUGUGUGCAGAAACAUGCGCAAUAGGAUGGCCAAACUCGUCGAGACGAGGACGCAUGUCACGUGACCAAACAGACAUGGGUGCAAUAACCUGGUCGAUCGCCGGGCCGCGCGGCUCGCCGCUGGUCCCCGAGUCAUGUGACCGCGCAGGCGUGAUUUCCGCUGUGUCAAGUACGAGACUUGGCAACGUGGAAAUCCCACCAGAAGCACUGUCCCGCGAACAGGGCCCAGCAGAAGUGCCAGGCCAAGAAAUUGGUGAAAUAAUUGCCUGCAUUUAAAAAUAUGGUUUGGGCUAUUAUCACGAAUCAAUAUUCUAUAACUGUAGAAGUCCAUUGAUGAAACCUUUUUAUUGGUUAUUGCACCUGAUAAUGGCUCAAUUUGCAUAAUGUUAAAAUGGUAGCCGUCUUCACCAUAAGGGAAUAUCAAUGGAUAUUGAAGGGCAUCAUAGGACCGAUGUGUUUUUGAGAUUUGCUGUAUUAAGAUAGGUCACGCCAUCCUCAAACUCGAUCGUUGAUGGUACAAAAUCACAUAAGAGGAAGGAGGCGGAGGAAGUCACCUCGACGCAGAACUCACUAGAGCCAUAAUGAGUGGAAAUAGUAGCCAUGUCAUCAGAACCAAAGGUUUGAUAGCCCACAAGCAGAGCACCAAGCCCAGUAAUAUGGUCAGGAGUGACCUUGGCGAUAGGCAUCCAGGAAAAUGCUUUGUCGCCAGCUCGGGGAGUGUAGGUGUAGGUUCUAGUGUCACUUUCUCUAAAAGUGACGGCUCUGUGGUCGCGUUGAAUGUCUGUGAGAUGCAUCCAUGUGUAGUCUACACUGGAGUUUGGAGUAUCCAUGGAAUAGGGAAUGAAACAGACCGAGAUUGUACCACCUCUAUUCCUUACAUCAGUGUUAGUCAUAAUCCGGAAAUGCAGCGAUUGGAGCCGAGCCUCACGAUAAUGGCAAAGAUAUUUACCAUCGUCGAUGCCAGCGUCCCAUUUCGCAGCAAGCCAUGGUGAAUUGUUAUUAUUUAAUAGAGAGAGAAAAAAAAAAAUUCUUUUCUUACGCAUCAUCCAUAUAUAUUUAUAAUUAAUAACAAUAAAAUUUAACAACGUAACGUCUUUUGCAAUCGGCUGUUACCCGUCAUUUAGACAUACUCUAAUUUAUAUAUAGAAUAAUAGAAGUGAGAAUAUAUUUAAUAGUAUAAAUUUUAGUAGUUAUAUAUAGAGAAAAGAGAGAAAGACAGAACGACAUAUAUAUAUAUGUCGUAAACCCGGGUAAGACAACAAAUGGGUUGGAAGCAGUCGGGGUUGAGUGGCAAGGCGUGCAGAGUGGGAAGUCCGCACGGGACAAUAAGGACAAAGUUUGGGACCAAAAGAUGCUCUCCCCAGUACGUCUCAAGUGGCACCAGGACCAGGGGAAAGUUGAGGAUUAACUGAGGAAAAGCUCGGCGUCCAGCCUGAAGCCGCGGGGACCGUCGUGAGAUGAUAAUGGCCUACAACCGAGCGGGGCUGUCUGAAAAUAUCUACUGUAACCUAAAUAAUUGUCGAAAUCUGGACGCCCCUUCUUUUGUCCGUCUCUGGAUCCCCCAGGUGUCCCGUGGCAAGCUGGUGUCACUUUGAGACGACUAGAAAAGGCGUCAUACUUUAUUACUUACAUAUCACAUUGUUUAAAUUACGAUAUAUAUAUAUGUAAUAUUGUUGCAAAUGUCCUCGGCGUCCCCUUUCUUGUUGAGCAAGAUAGAGGAACUUUCCUUCCAUGAAGGGGGUACCGCCCUCAUCUGGAAGCAGACCUGGAAGAUCUGGGUGAGGAUGGUGGCUUUGGGAUCCACCCGUUUCAGUUCCUGGUAGCUGAUGCCAUCGGGACCAGGAGCAGUGUUUCCCAUCUUGAGAAGGCGGUACCAUACUGCGUUGGAAGAGAUGGGUUCUUCCAACUGGGCUCCGUCCUGGGGGGCGAAGUCCUUGAGGAGAUCUGGGUCGGGGCUGAACUCGGUGUUGUCCCCAACCAUGCGUUUCUCGAAGUGUUCUUCGAUCAUCUGGAUGGGGAUGGUGCAGCCCGGGGAGCGUUGGCCCAAUUUUGGCAUUCAAAAAUGUAGAAAUAUUUUCCAUUAGUUUUUCCAACACAGGAAACUUUUUUUCCUAUUGAAUUUAUCUCCCAUUUUUAAUUUAAAUAAAGUAUUACCAAAUAAUUUGGCAUACAAAAUAAAAUUACCAACCUUAAAUUAAUUAGAAUAUUUUGUAAACAAACGAUUAUAUUAGGGGGACGUUUUGUUGGUCCAGUUCCACAGGCGGUCCUGUCGGAGUCUCGGAAGAAAUCGGCUCCUGGGCCGCUGACUGAGUUGAGUGUUCAGGCUCCUCCAGGGCCGCGGCGUCGCUUCCAGGUGUCCUCUUCUUGCUCCUCGUAGAUAUUGCGCUCUUUUGGGCCCGUUUUUUAACCGUAGAGCAAUCCUGGUGGUGUUUGGUGCUUCUGCAGGUCCGCAGGUCUUUGAAGCUUUGUUAGCAGACCGUGCAGUCAAAAACCACGUUGUUAAUCUUGUGUAGAACACGAAGGUGCUUCACCAGAUCGUUGUGCUGCUUGUAGAUCAACGCUGUCCAAAACCUGCGGCGUUUGCACAUUGGGAGGGUCGCUAUUUACGACCGGCAGCCGUAGGUUGUCUGCUGCUUCCUCUUGUUGGACCAAGGGACUCUCUGACGGCUGUUCAGGGAUGGAUGCUGGUGGGGCGUAUUUCUUUAGAGGAAGUACCCCUUUGAUCUUCCUCGGCGGCGUUCUUAUUGAUGUUGUAGGACCUCUGCAGCUUCGCCUCAGCAUCAAAGCUGGGUGCCGAUGGUCGGGUACUCCGAGGUUUUUAUGGUGGUGGCACUCUGCGUCUUGUCCAUGUGUCAGGUUUUCCGGUCUCGUUUUUAACUCCUUUGAUGAAAUUCUCGAUCAAGGAAAAGAGUGUUUCCCUGUCGGGUGCAGCUGUCCACUUUCCAUCCCACUCUUCCUGAAAGGGAGUGAAGGAUUUUCAGGGCGGGCGCUGCUGGAGUUCAUCAACUGGCUGUGAAGCUGGAGGAGGGGUGACCGGUGUAUCCUGUGGCAAGUGGGCAGGGUCGUCAGGUGGGGCGCUGCUUGAAGAUCAACGCUGUCCAAAACCUGCGGCGUUUGCACGUUGGGAGGGUCGCUAUUUACGACCGGCAGCCGUAGGUUGUCUGCUGCUUCCUCUUGUUGGACCAAGGGACUCUCUGACGGCUGUGCAGGGAUGGAUGCUGGAGGGGCGUAUUUCUUCAGAGGAAGUACCCCUUUGAUCUUCCUCGGCGGCGUUCUCUGGUAGGGGUGGGACAAAAGUUGUUUGGCCCGCUUCGCUGGUAGCCAAACUCGUCCCGUGAGCCUCCGGUCUGAAGGGUGUAGUCUCGGCGGAGAGGUCACUCACGGGGGGCGGGGGUGUUUUGUUGGUCCAGUUCCACAGGCAGUCCUGUCGGAGUCUCUGAAGAAAUCGGUUCCUGGGCCGCUGGCUGAGUCGAGUGUUUCGACUCCUCCAGGGCCGCGGUGUCGCUUCCAGGUGUCUUCUUGCUCCUCGUAGAUGGUGCGCUCUUUUGGGCCAGUUUUUCAACCGUAGAGCAAUCCUGGUGGUGUUUCUGCGGGUCUUUGAAGCUUUGUUGGCAGACCGUGCAGUCAAAAACCACGUUGUUGAUCUUGUGUAGAACAUGAAGGUGCUUCACCAGAUCGUUGUGCUGCUUGUAGACACCACUGCGGGUUACUCUCGCCAUCCCGUAACACUCGGGACAUUUAAAGACCUCAGGUAGCUGGAACGGCAUCCUAAACGGAUCACAAAGAGCAGGGGCAAGGUUGUGUACAUGUGUCACAUUGUGUGAGAACCUGGUAGGCGUGUGGUGUCAGACGGGCUUACCACCAGAGCAUCGUGUUUGUGUCACGUGUUACACAGUGUGCAUCAGCGACCUGGUUGUUAUUACCAGGAGGUAAACAAACCUGGUCACGUGACAACGUGUGCAGAAACGUGCGCAAUAGGAUGGCCAAACUCGUCGAGAAGAGUGGCAGAACAAGGACGCAUGUCACGUGACCAAACAGACAUGGGUGCAAUAACCUGGUCGAUCGCCGGGCCGCGCGGCUCGCCGCUGGUCCCCGAGUCACGUGACCGCGCAGGCGUGAUUUCCGCUGUGUCAAGUACGAGACUUGGCAACGUGGAAAUCCCACCAGAAGCACUGUCCCGCGAACAGGGCCCAGCAGAAGUGCCAGGCCAAGAAAUUGGUGAAAUAAUUGCCUGCAUUUAAAAAUAUGGUUUGGGCUAUUAUCACGAAUCAAUAUUCUAUAACUGUAGAAGUCCAUUGAUGAAACCUUUUUAUUGGUUAUUGCACCUGAUAAUAGCUCAAUUUGCAUAAUGUUAAAAUGGUAGCCGUCUUCACCAUAAGGGAAUAUCAAUGGAUAUUGAAGGGCAUCAUAGGACCGAUGUGUUUUUGAAAUUUGCUGUAUUAAGAUUGGUCACGCCAUCCUCAAACUCGAUCGUUGAUGGUACUAAAUCACGUACGAGGAAGGAUGCGGAGGAAGUCACCUCGACGCAGAACUCACUAGAGCCAUAAUGAGUGGAAAUAGUAGCCAUGUCAUCAGAACCAAAGGUUUGAUAACCCACAAGCAGAGCACCAAGCCCAGUAAUAUGGUCAGGAGUGACCUUGGCGAUAGGCAUCCAGGAAAAUGCUUUGUCGCCAGCUCGGGGAGUGUAGGUGUAGGUUCUAGUGUCACUUUCUCUAAAAGUGACGGCUCUGUGGUCGCGUUGAAUGUCUGUGAGAUGCAUCCAUGUGUAGUCUACACUGGAGUUUGGAGUAUCCAUGGAAUAGGGAAUGAAACAGACCGAGAUUGUACCACCUCUAUUCCUUACAUCAGUGUUAGUCAUAAUCCGGAAAUGCAGGUAUUGGAGCCGAGCCUCACGAUAAUGGCAAAGAUAUUUACCAUCGUCGAUGCCAGCGUCCCAUUUCGCAGCAAGCCAUGGUGAAUUGUUAUUAUUUAAUAGAGAGAGAAAAAAAAAAUUCUUUACUUCUUACGCAUCAUCCAUAUAUAUUUAUAAUUAAUAACAAUAAAAUUUAACAACGUAACGUCUUUUGCAAUCGGCUGUUACCCGUCAUUUAGACAUACUCUAAUUUAUAUAUAGAAUAAUAGAAGUGAGAAUAUAUUUAAUAGUAUAAAUUUUAGUAGUUAUAUAGAGAAAAGAGAGAAAGACAGAACGACAUAUAUAUAUAUGUCGUAAACCCGGGUAAGACAACAAGUGGGUUGGAAGCAGUCGGGGUUGAGUGGCAAGGCGUGCAGAGUGGGAAGUCCGCACGGGACAGUAAGGACAAAGUUUGGGACCAAAAGAUGCUCUCCCCAGUACGUCUCAAGUGGCACCAGGACCAGGGGAAAGUUGAGGAUUAACUGAGGAAAAGCUCGGCGUCCAGCCUGAAGCCGCGGGGACCGUCGUGAGAUGAUAAUGGCCUACAACCGAGCGGGGCUGUCUGAAAAUAUCCACUGUAACCUAAAUAACUGUCGAAAUCUGGACGCCCCUUCUUUUGUCCGUCUCUGGAUCCCCCAGGUGUCCCGUGGCAAGCUGGUGUCACUUUGAGACGACUAGAAAAGGCGUCAUACUUUAUUACUUACAUAUCACAUUGUUUAAAUUACGAUAUAUAUAUAUAUAUGUAAUAUUGUUGCAAAUGUCCUCGGCGUCCCCUUUCUUGUGGAGCAAGAUAGAGGAACUUUCCUUCCAUGAUGGGGGUACCGCCCUCAUCUGGAAGCAGACCUGGAAGAUCUGGGUGAGGAUGGUGGCUUUGGGAUCCACCCGUUUCAGUUCCUGGUAGCUGAUGCCAUCGGGACCAGGAGCAGUGUUUCCCAUCUUGAGAAGGCGGUACCAUACUGUGUUGGAAGAGAUGGGUUCUUCCAACUGGGCUCCGUCCUGGGGGGCGAAGUCCUUGAGGAGAUCUGGGUCGGGGCUGAACUCGGUGUUGUCCCCAACCAUGCGUUUCUCAAAGUGUUCUUCGAUCAUCUGGAUGGGGAUGGUGCAGCUCGGGGAGCGUUGGCCCAAUUUUGGCAUUUAAAAAUGUAGAAAUAUUUUCCAUUAGUUUUUCCAACACAGGAAACAUUUUUUUUCCUAUUGAAUUUAUCUCCCAUUUUUAAUUUAAAUAAAGUAUUACCAAAUAAUUUGGCAUACAAAAUAAAAUUACCAACCUUAAAUUAAUUAGAAUAUUUUGUAAACAAACGAUUAUAUUAGGGGGACGUUUUGUUGGUCCAGUUCCACAGGCGGUCCUGUCGGAGUCUCUGAAGAAAUCGGCUCCUGGCCGCUGACUGAGUUGAGUGUUCAGGCUCCUCCAGGGCCGCGGCGUCGCUUCCAGGUGUCCUCUUCUUGCUCCUCGUAGAUGGUGCGCUCUUUUGGGCCCGUUUUUUAACCGUAGAGCAAUCCUGGUGGUGUUUGGUGCUUCUGCAGGUCCGCAGGUCUUUGAAGCUUUGUUAGCAGACCGUGCAGUCAAAAACCACGUUGUUAAUCUUGUGUAGAACACGAAGGUGCUUCACCAGAUCGUUGUGCUGCUUGUAGAUCAACGCUGUCCAAAACCUGCGGCGUUUGCACAUUGGGAGGGUCGCUAUUUACGACCGGCAGACGUAGGUUGUCUGCUGCUUCCUCUUGUUGGACCAAGGGACUCUCUGACGGCUGUUCAGGGAUGGAUGCUGGUGGGGCGUAUUUCUUUAGAGGAAGUACCCCUUUGAUCUUCCUCGGCGGCGUUCUUAUUGAUGUUGUAGGACCUCUGCAGCUUCGCCUCAGCAUCAAAGCUGGGUGCCGAUGGUCGGGUACUCCGAGGUUUUUAUGGUGGUGGCACUCUGCGUCUUGUCCAUGUGUCAGGUUUUCCGGUCUCGUUUUUAACUCCUUUGAUGAAAUUCUCGAUCAAGGAAAAGAGUGUUUCCCUGUCGGGUGCAGCUGUCCACUUUCCAUCCCACUCUUCCUGAAAGGGAGUGAGGGAUUUUCAGGGCGGGCGCUGCUGGAGUUCAUCAACUGGCUGUGAAGCUGGAGGAGGGGUGACCGGUGUAUCCUGUGGCAAGUGGGCAGGGUUGUCAGGUGGGGCGCUGCUUGAAGAUCAACGCUGUCCAAAACCUGCGGCGUUUGCACGUUGGGAGGGUCGCUAUUUACGACCGGCAGCCGUAGGUUGUCUGCUGCUUCCUCUUGUUGGACCAAGGGACUCUCUGACGGCUGUGCAGGGAUGGAUGCUGGAGGGGCGUAUUUCUUCAGAGGAAGUACCCCUUUGAUCUUCCUCGGCGGCGUUCUCUGGUAGGGGUGGGACAAAAGUUGUUUGGCCCGCUUCGCUGGUAGCCAAACUCGUCCCGUGAGCCUCCGGUCUGAAGGGUGUAGUCUCGGCGGAGAGGUCACUCACGGGGGGCGGGGGUGUUUUGUUGGUCCAGUUCCACAGGCAGUCCUGUCGGAGUCUCUGAAGAAAUCGGUUCCUGGGCCGCUGGCUGAGUCGAGUGUUUCGACUCCUCCAGGGCCGUAGAGUCGCUUCUAGGUGUCUUCUUCUUGAUCCUCUUAGAAGGUGCGCUCUUUUGGGCCCGUUUUUCAACCGUAGAGCAAUCCUGGUGGUGUUUGGCGCAGGUCUUUGAAGCUUUGUUGGCAGACCGUGCAGUGAAAAACUACGUUGUUAAUCUUGUGUAGAACAUGAAGGUGCUUCACCAGAUCGUUGUGCUGCUUGUAGACACCACUGCGGGUUACUCUCGCCAUCCCGUAACACUCGGGACAUUUAAAGACCUCAGGUAGCUGGAACGGCAUCCUAAACGGAUCACAAAGAGCGGGGGCAAGGUUGUGUAUAUGUGUCACAUUUGUGUGAGAACCUGGUAGGCGUGUGAGUGGGGGGUCAUUAGGGACUAACAAGAAGUGCUUCUAAAUCGAGAGAAGCUUUUAACUUCAGUAGUAUCCAGAAGCCUUACCACGGGUUGGAGUCAUUAGGGACUGACAAGAAGUGCUCCUAAAUCAAGAGAAGCUUUUAACUUCAGUAGUAUCCAGAAGCCUUACCACGGGUGGGGGGUCAUUAGGGACUGAGAAGAAGUGCUCUUAAAUUGAGAGAAGCGUUUAACUUCAGUAGUAUCCAGAAGCCUUACCACGGGUGGGGGUCAUUAGGGACUGACAAGAAGUGCUCCUAAAUCGAGAGAAGCUUUUAACUUCAGUAGUAUCCAGAAGCCUUACCACGGGUGGGGGGUCAUUAGGGACUGACAAGAAGUGCUCCUAAAUCGAGAGAAGCUUUUAACUUCAGUAGUAUCCAGAAGCCUUACCACUGGUGGGGGGACAAACUGGACUAGCUGAAGUCACCGACAGAACUCUCGGGUUCAGGGGGGCAGGAAGUCCAUAAUGGUGGCAGCUGAGGCAAUUUUCACUCUGCUGAAAAUCAAGGGCUCUGAGAGCCUCAGCAGCUGUCUCAGAGGUUCCACGAGAAAAGUCCUCACUAAGAUACCCCUUGUAUUUGGUCCACAAUGAUCCAGUGUCGUUUGGAUUAUCGAAGAUGAGAAUUGUCGCAAAGAGCUGGCGCAGUUGACCUGACAUUUGGAACAAAGCCGCCUCAGCCAAGCAUGCAUCCCACUCAGAAUCAUCAGCCAAUAAUCCAGUGAUUUUUUAAAAAACUAAUUCAGCUAUUAUUGAAUAGUUAAAAGCUCUUAGAGUUGUCUUUUGAAUGCUGUUCAUAUGGAACAGGAUGUGAUGGAAGAUGUUAAGGAUCACUUUUCCUCCAUUCUUUCAUCCAUAUAUGUAUACAACAUUUGAUCACAUACACCGGCUGUACGAAGCCCACCCUGCACAGAUGGAUGAAGAAUACCAGGAACAUAUCCUGAACCUACUCAAGCCCAAGUUACCAACUCUUGUGUUCAGGACUUCUAUACCUGCACAGGUAAAUGGCAUCAAACCUCAUGUCACAUCACCUCAUGAAAAUUCUACAUUAGAACAUAUAAAUACUUUAUCCCAGAAUGUGAAUUCUCUGCCAGGGCAUGUGAAUUCCACACCAGCGCAAUCACAUAAAGAUACCCAGCAUACUGCCAUAGCAAACUCUUUCAAAAUCUGUAGAGAUAUUUUGCCCAAAGAAGAUAAGCAAAAAAUACUUUUGAUUCCAGCAGGUUUAAAUACAAAUUGAAAUAAGAUUAAUAAACUAAUGUAAAUAUGUGAAAGAGUUGUAUAAAAGUGAAUUCCUGCUCCGCCUUUGGAAGGAGGGAUGAAGAGCACCUCGUUGCUGGCCUGCAGAGGCAGGCCAGGCCAUUUCUUCCCUAGUCUCUUUAUCAGCAGGUCCACUUCCCUGAAGGAGGUCUUGUGGAUCAGGGAACCUCGAAGAAUGAAGUCGAGUCUUGUGUAGACGAAGGUCUUGGUGGCGUCGAUCUUCUGCCAAGUAGUGAGUAGGCUGUUGUUGAUUUUUUCCACAUCCUCCUUGAUUCCCUUGAUGGCUUCUCCGGGGUUCCUUGGCUUGUUGAAUCUGGUGGGUACUCCAAGGUGACAGUACGUGUCCUCUUCUCUCAUUGCUGAGAUUGGCUGUUCUUGGAUGCAAUGUCAGCAAUGGGUAUGCUAUCGCAUGUGUGGUGUCAGACGGGCUUACCACCAGAGCAUCGUGUUUGUGUCACGUGUUACACAGUGUGCAUUAGCGACCUGGUUGUUAUUACCAGGAGGUAAACAAACCUGGUCACGUGACAACGUGUGCAGAAACAUGCGCAAUAGGAUGGCCAAACUUGUCGAGAUGAGUGGCAGAACAAGGACGCAUGUCACGUGACGAAACAGACAUGGGUACAAUAACCUGGUCGAUUGCCGGGCCACGCGGCGAUGGUGCAUUGCGAUGGUACUCAAUUACACAUCUUUUUGGUGGGUUGUGAUGCAGAAUCUUCUUGGGGAAGUGAUCUUUUCAUCUGUUCAUUUUCCUGCUCCUUCUUCAAUUCAGCCACCACAGCAUUGGCAAUUCUUAUGGCAUUGUCUGUUCUUUCUUGAUAAACUUGUACGACCUCUUCUUCAGACAUUCCUAGUUUGAAUUCCUUCAAUAUCUUGUUUUUCAACAUUUUCACCAUAUAGCCGAGGUCCACUUUGUUAGAUUUGGGAAGAAGUGUUAUCGCUAGGCCAGUAUUUCCAGCCAUAGCAGUACGGCCUACUCUCCUGGUAUAGUCUUCCUUCACGUUGGGGCGAUCGAAAUUUAUCACCGCCGAGACUUCAGGGAAAUCCAUGCCCCUCCCUGCAACAUCUGUAGCCACCAUAUAAGAUUGGGAUUCCUCUUUGAACUUUCUCAAAUUCUUGUUCCGGUUAGCCCGAGCCAUAUCGCCAUGGAGCAUCACUGGCCUGAAGCCAAGCGUUUUAAGAAUUCUGUGCAGCCGAAUAGUGCUGAAUUUUGUUUUGCAGAACAUCAGCACUCUCUUACGAUGAAAGGGUCCUUCUAGAAGUGCUGCCAGAUAGUAUUCCUUGUGCUCCGUUAAACAGCGAAGGUAGAAAUGUUCCAGAUGGGGGCUAAUCAGUGUGUCUGCUCGGAUUUCCACAAAGUCUUGCAGAGAAAGUCUAUUGAGAUCUAUAUUCUCCGCAGACAUAGUGGCGGAGAACAGCAAGGUCUGCCUCUCCUUGGGCAGCAGGUUCAGGAUUUCAUCCAGGUCUUUUUCGUUUUUAAGAAUCCGGUCCGCUUCAUCCAGGACCAGCACUUUGAGACAUUUUAAAGAGAAGUUCUUGGUCUUAGAUGGUGAAGGAGGCGUCCAGGGGUGGCGACAAUCACAUAGGGCCUCAGCUCGUUGAGCAGCAGGGCCUGAUGUUCAUAGCUGUCCCCACCCGUUAAAUGGACCACCGCGCAGGCUUGAUUUCCGCUGUGUCAAGUACGAGACUUGGCGACGUGGAAAUCCCACCAGAAGCACUGUACCGCGAACAGGGCCCAGCAGAAGUGCCAGGCCAAGAAAUUGGUGAAAUAAUUGCUUGCAUUUAAAAAUAUGGUUUGGGCUAUUAUCACAAAUCAAUAUUCUAUAACUGUAGAAGUCCAUUGAUGAAACCUUUUUAUUGGUUAUUGUGCCUGAAAAUGGCUCAAUUUGCAUAAUGUUAAAAUGGUAGCCGUCUUCACCAUAAGGGAAUAUCAAUGGAUAUUGAAGGGCAUCAUAGGACCGAUGUGUUUUUGAAAUUUGCUGUAUUAAGAUAGGUCACGCCAUCCUCAAACUCGAUCGUUGAUGGUACAAAAUCACGUACGAGGAAGGAUGCGGAGGAAGUCACCUCAACGCAGAACUCACUAGAGCCAUAAUGAGUGGAAAUAGUAGCCAUGUCAUCAGAACCAAAGGUUUGAUAACCCACAAGCAGAGCACCAAGCCCAGUAAUAUGGUCAGGAGUGACCUUGGCGAUAGGCAUCCAGGAAAAUGCUUUGUCGCCAGCUCGGGGAGUGUAGGUGUAGGUUCUAGUGUCACUUUCUCUAAAAGUGACGGCUCUGUGGUCGCAUUGAAUGUCUGUGAGAUGCAUCCAUGUGUAGUCUACACUGGAGUUUGGAGUAUCCAUGGAAUAGGGAAUGAAACAGACCGAGAUUGUACCACCUCUAUUCCUUACAUCAGUGUUAGUCAUAAUCCGGAAAUGCAGCGAUUGGAGCCGAGCCUCACGAUAAUGGCAAAGAUAUUUACCAUCGUCGAUGCCAGCGUCCCAUUUCGCAGCAAGCCAUGGUGAAUUGUUAUUAUUUAUUUAUUAUAUAUUUAUAAUUAAUAGUUAUUAUAUAUUUAUAAUUAAUAACAAUAAAAUUUAACAACGUAACGUCUUUUGCAAUCGGCUGUUACCCGUCAUUUAGACAUACUCUAAUUUAUAUAUAGAAUAAUAGAAGUGAGAAUAUAUUUAAUAGUAUAAAUUUUAGUAGUUAUAUAUAGAGAAAAGAGAGAAAGACAGAACGACAUAUAUAUAUAUAUGUCGUAAACCCGGGUAAGAAGACAAGUGGGUUGGAAGCAGUCGGGGUUGAGUGGCAAGGCGUGCAGAGUGGGAAGUCCGCACGGGACAGUAAGGACAAAGUUUGGGACCAAAAGAUGCUCUCCCCAGUACAUCUCAAGUGGCACCAGGACCAGGGGAAAGUUGAGGAUUAACUGAGGAAAAGCUCGGCGUCCAGCCUGAAGCCGCGGGGACCGUCGUGAGAUGAUAAUGGCCUACAACCGAGCGGGGCUGUCUGAAAAUAUCCACUGUAACCUAAAUAACUGUCGAAAUCUGGACGCCCCUUCUUUUGUCCGUCUCUGGAUCCCCCAGGUGUCCCGUGGCAAGCUGGUGUCACUUUGAGACGACUAGAAAAGGCGUCAUACUUUAUUACUUACAUAUCACAUUGUUUAAAUUACGAUAUAUAUAUAUGUAAUAUUGUUGCAAAUGCCGACGUUAGGAUGAACUGGCAGUCGUGUACGUGAGGCGAGUGUUGGUGUUCUUCCCACACCCGGACAACAAGAAGCAGAGGCAGGGCUGGAUGUUAACACAGAGAGUGAUCGGGAACAGCCCACGGGACAGAGGUAGAGGCCAUGACACAAACUUGGAUGCUUAUCACCGAGACCUGGAGGGAGAGACUGUGAGAGACAUAUAUAUGAUGUAAUUCUAUGUGUGAAAAAGAAUUAGCAGUCGUUUGUGGCCGUCUCCACCUCAAUAAUCAUAUCUUUAUUUUUUUCAAAUCUUUUUAAAACAAACAACAAAAUUUACAUACUUGGCACGCUGUAAAAAUUAAUUAUUUUACAAACAAAGAACAUUAUGCAAAGCAGAUAGAAUUUUAAUAUCAUUCAAAAUGUAUCACUACCCCCCACAAAAAAAAAAAAAAAAAACUAGUGUUAAUUUUUUUCUCAACGGAGGUUGGGAGGGGAUGGAAGGUAAAGGAUAAGAUACAUUUUGAAGGAAGAAAAAAAAAUGCAAAAAUUAUAUUACACAAGUAAUUGUAUUUACACAAGAAACUAUAUUGUUAGAGGUAAAAGGCGACCAAAGCCUGUUGGGGAAAAUCACAGGAAAAGGUGGCCCUACAAAACCUAACUAACAAUAGGCAGGAAGAAAAAAAUGAUAUUUUAAAAUUUGGACAUUACAUGUCUAUGGAGACACUCUCCAUGUAGAAUCCCAUUCCAGGGCAACUUUUUUGUUAUUUUCUCGAAACCGGCAGUAGUUUCUCCAGGGGCUCUGUGGGGUGAUCUGGAUUUUUUUUUUCUUUAAUGGAAGAGAAUAAAACCUGAGGACUAUCGGUGGAAGCUUGCUUGUUAGGUUCGAUACCCAAGCAUCCUUCCAAAUCCUCUUCUUCCUGAAAUGGGAAUGUUGGUUCAGUAUUAUCUUCAGUUACCGGAUCCCAGAGCUUUACUUUAGAAAUAUUAACUAUUGUUGCAUGCUUAUUUUCGGGUUGGCAAGGCUUAUCUAUUUCUAUGGUUUGUAGUGAGGGUAUGGAAAUUAUGGUGUAUGGUUCUGGAUAAAAGGCUGGCAUGAGCUUACCUUGACCUGAUUGGUAAGGGAUCUUAUAAAGGACCUUAUCCCCUAUUUUUAGAUUAGGCGUUUUAUGGGAUUCAUUAUAUCUUUUUACCAAUUUAAGAUGUAAUUUUUCGGUAUUUUCAUUUGCAAUUUUCCUAGCCUCUUCUAUGGGUGGAUAUGCUCUUGUUAAUUUAUUGAUAUAUGAUGGCGUUAUGCCAAAAAGCAAAUAAACGGGAGGCAUUUUAAUUAUGGAAUGAGGAAUACUCCGAUAUUCUUCUAAGGCCUUUUGUAAUAAUUUGGGCCAUGGUAUUCUGGGAUUUUGUUGAUGGCCUUGAUUCUUUGAUGUUGGCCUUGAUCUCGAUAAAUUAAUUUCAGACACUUGUCUUUCAAGUGAAGAAAUUUUCUCUAACAAAUUUUCCAUAUUAGUAUGAGAAGUUUGUGAAGAACUAGCACUACAGACAUUAGGGCUAAAGGUCAUGUCCAUUAUUUUAUCAGCCAUAGAUGCUAAUUUUGUGACAUUUUCAUCACUUACAAGUAAUAUCUUCUUCAUUGAAUCAGAUAAUUUUUAAAGCCAUAAUGUCUUUAUUAGAUUAUCUAAUAUAUCUUUAGUGGCAAGAGAUCUUAAUUUCUGUAAAAGUUGACUAGGCUUCAUGUUUCCAAGCUCAAUUCCUGUGAUAAGCCUUUUUAUUCUAACACUUUCACUCGCUUUAAAUAUAGUUAAAAGUCUAGUUUUGGACUCUGUAUAUUUAAAUUUACUAUCAAGAGUAAUUAUGUCCCAAAUAUUUUCAAUAUACUUAGGCUCAAGUUGUGCGAUCAAAUAAUUAAAUAUAUAUUUUGUUUCUUCUGAAGUUAUACAAUUUAUACUGAAUUGCGCCUCAACUUGAUAAAACCAAAUCUCAGGUUUAUCUGUCCAAAAAGGAGGAAUUUUAAUACUUACUUUGUGGACUUCUUGAGGUGAAGAAGCUUCUUUAAUUGUAUUUUCAUUCGAAUCUUUGUUCAUUUUAAAAAUGUGAUCACGUCCGGCUCACCAAAUGUGGUAGAUGUUUUGAAGAAAUAGCCUUAGCCUUUUUAAAAUGUGUCUGUACGCUGCUCUCCCUCUUUAAGAGGUGGAAUUUUACUGGUCUGUCAAGUAGGAUUUCAGUUCUUAUUGUGUGGAAAUUUAUGAAUAGUGCAUGGUUUUUUGGGUUAUACAUCUCGAUGGGGGAUAAGACUUUACACUCUUCAUUGAUUAGAUAUAUAGUGUUGUUUUUAGGCCAGAUCUUAUCUUUUGGUUGAUUACAAUAUGUUUUUACUUUUACAUUAUAGUUAGUUGAAUAUUUUAUGAAUUGGAAAAAGUCUUUACUUAAAUUGCCAGAAUAUUGAAGGUUAUGCUUAAUAGAUAUUAUUGGAUUUAGGAUUAAGUCUAGAUGAUUGUUACUUGCAGUGCAUUUCCGUUCACUUGGGCACUGUUCUGCAGAGCGCUCCUCUUCUGCAGCAGCAGCUGAUGGAAGGAGUGCAGGCUCUGGUAUAUCAUUGCAUCUGGUUCUUUGUUCUGUAGAUCUGCCGACUUUUCCUCGAUCUUGAAAAGAGUGGUGAUCACUUUUAGUUGGUAGGCGUUGUUCAUUUUUAGAUUCAAAACAUGACGCCAGGAUACGCCCGGAGUUCCUAGCGUCGCUUCGAAGUUUUUUGAAUCCCCAGGUCCUACAGUUGCGUACAGGUCCUGCAGUCUUGCAUAGUUCAGGACCCAAGGAGGGAGAUGCAGCUUCUGGCUUUUGCUGAUUGAUUCUUGGAUGUUGCGUAUGCCGGGCACUUCUCUGAACUGCUGGAGCAUCUUGGAUGUUUCCACUCUUCCUCUCACUUUUCUUGCCAUGGCCCACAGACAUCUCUGUGCCUUGUAGAAGUUUUCGAGAGUCAAACCUCCUCUCUUUAUCAUUAUGAAGAAGAUGAGGAAGACUGGGUCAAUGUUUGAGCCCUGCUGUCUGAACUGGUCUGCCUCAGCAGGUUGAGUGGCCCUUAUAUCGGCAAUUUCUGUAUCUAGUUCGGCCAGAAGAGCAGUGAACCUGGUGGCAACACUUCUGGUUGCGGAUGCAGCAAGGGCUGUCAUUCUCUGCCUUAUUGUUCCUUGGUUUGUGUCCGACCAGAGGAGAGCAGUGGUUAACAUUCUUCUAUUGCUCUUGUUCCUCUUGUCUUCUGCGAAGGGGAAGAUUGGGUCUUCUGAUCGGAGGGCAAGCACAACCUCAUCCACAUGAGGUGGCUUCAAUGGUGGUGCCAGGCAAAACAUAUUUUUUUAUAACCGCAAUGAGAGUACGGGCCCUACGGUCGGCGACCACCUGGAAAAAAAAUAUUUUGUUUCCACGUCUACACCGCCAAAAACCCAAUGUCCUUCGGCAGUUUUGGCACAGUGAUUUUUAGUUUUCUUAUUGUGGCCAAACAGGCUCGCGUCUAUUUGCACCUGUUUGCCUUUACCACCAAUUUUCGGAUGGUCGUCCAGAUAUAGAAGGUAGCAAACCUCCCUGCAGAAGUUAACCCAGUGCGUUACUGCGUCAUCAGAUACCCCAGACUGCUCUGCAAUGGUCUUUAUAUCAAUCUUUACCACCCACAGUGCAGUCAUUGUUAUAAUUUGGUAGAGUUUUAAGGUCGAUUUCUCAAACCAAGUUCCGCAUCGCAAACUUGUUCUAAUACUAUGCACUCCAAUUUUUUUAGAUGUGCUUCUACAUCGCCAUACUACAUGAUCUGUGUUUUUAUAGGAUUUCAGUUCCAUAUCUCUGCCACAGUGCGGGCAUGUCCUUUCACCUGCGAAGACACACGUUCAGAAUAUAAACUUUGUCACUAUUAUUGAAUAUAUAUAUACACUAGAAUAAAUCUCUAGAUAAAAUAGAUUGCGUCAUAACAAUUAUAGUAAUAAAAACAUAAAUGAUUAAGCAAAAGAUGCUUUAUGAGGUCAGCACAACUAUGCGACCACAAUGAAACUAAGGAGAAAAUUAAUUUAGCAAAGAAAUAAAUAUAUUACCUGGAAUUAGCCCUUCUUGAAUGCAUAAUUCCCUCACUCUUUGGUCGCCCAAUCCCUUAAGGGCAAAAAGGUCUGUAAAUGUAUAAAACGGCUUUUUUCUUGUUUUUUAGCGCCUAUUUACCCGUGAGCUUACACACACUCUGUGGUAACAAAUAAUUAAAAUAUAUAUAUAUGUACAACAGCCCUUAUCUUUUUCUCUUCUGGCUUUAGUCCAUCAGGUCCAAUUUGGUGUCCCAAAAACUUUAAUUUAGGAGAAGAGAAUACACAUUUCUCUUUAUUAAGUGUCAAUCCUGUUUCCUUCAGUUUGCUAAGGACUUGUUUCAGUCUUCCAUCAUGUUCCUGCUAAUUGGAUCCCCAAACUAUGAUAUCAUCUAGAUGACACAUUGAGCCUUCGAUAUCUCCUAAAACCUCACUCAUUCUUUUUUGGAAAUGCUCGGGUGCGCUAGUAAUUCCAAAUGGAAGUCGACAAAAUCUAUACCGUCCAAAAGGUGUCAAGAAUGUUGUAAAGUCUUUUGACUUAUCAUCCAAAGGUAUUUGCCAAAAUCCUGAAUUAGCAUCUAAUUUUGAGAACACUUUACCAUUGCUUAACUGGCUCAAAGUUUCUUCUAGGAUAGGCAUUUGAUAUCGUUCUCUUUUUAUUUUCUCAUUCAAUUUGGUGAGGUCAACGCAUAUUCGAAUUUCGUUAUUCUUUUUAGGCACAAUCACCAUUGGUGAUAACCAAUCAGUUGCAUGAUCAACUUUCUCAAUUACUCCUUGCUGCUCCAUUUCUUUGAGCUUCUGUUUUGUUUUAUUCAUUCAAAUAGUGGUUACAACGUCAAAAUGAACGGUAAGCCUAUUAACAAAUGUUUAUAUAUUUAGUCUAAAUUAAUUCAAAGGUAUUAUAAAAUUAACAUAAUUUUGAAAUGUUUAAUAACAUUGCGCCACCUGAAAAAUUCAAUUUCAAAUGUCCAGAAGAAUGGAUUACGUGGGCAAGAUGUUUUGAACGUUAUAGGAUCGCAACAGGCUUAAAUGCCAAAGAUGAAAGCGAGCAGGUAAAUAUGCUUAUAUAUUUAUUGGGCGAUGAAGCUGAUGACAUUUACCUGUCUUUUAGGCUCUCAACUGCUGAUUCAGCAAAAUGUGGGUUUAGACAAAUUUUGUCAGUAUUUUAUUGAAAGAAGAAACAUUAUUUUUGAUAUAGCCCAACUCAAUAACAAAUCCCAUAGAUUUGGGACCCAAUUUCUAAUAAAAUUUCCUGUAGGGUGUUCUUUUGAAUCUUUUUGGAUAUGAAUUUUGAGAAGCAGAUAUUUUUCUCCUUAGGUGCAAGGGAAGAAGGUUUGAUUCAAGUUCAACAAUGUGAUUUGGACAAGAUACUCGAAGCCCGCUGAUGAUUUUUUAAAACUUUUUUUAUGGCCUGGCUAUCCCUUUUCAGCAGCAGUGAGCUGGGCAAGGAAAGCGGGGUGCCACAUGUGAUCAAAGGCCGACUUGAUGUAGAGACUGAUAAGGAGGCCGCAUUGGUGGGAACGUAUAGACUCCGAAACUUUAGCUUUGAGAAGGACGUGGAUGUCCAUAGCACUUCUCCCAUUCCUGAAUCCAAAUUGAUUGGGGUGGAGGAGACCGUUGGACUCAAAGUGGUGCGAGAGUCUAAGGAGAGCAUGCUCUCGAGGGUUUUACCCAGGAUAGGGAGAAGUACGAUCGGACAGGCCAGCGAACUCCUCCAACGGGUUAGGUCCGGGGUGUCCUCCACAUGUAUAGACUGUGGAGGCGGAGGUGUGGCCAUGGCCGGUGACGAUUCCAUGUCCUGGGGAGCGGGUGGUGUUGGCUCAGCAGGCCGAGGCGCAGGCAGUGGAGGUGUAGGCACUGCGGCUGGUGUUGUCCUCAGCUCAGCCUUGACCUGUCCGAGGACUUUAUAGAUAUUGCUGCCUGCUCCGGGCCUCAGAUCCAAGAUUUGUUUGAUCAGGCCGGCGAGAGCAUCGCCCUGCGGAGGUGACAGGAGGGGUCCAUGCUUCUGCGCCUUGGUCCUCGAGGAGAGGAGGUCUAGGACCUCCUCCCGCCCAAGACCAAGGGCGUCCGUCCCAGCAAAGGGUAUAAAUAACAUGUACAUAAAAGAACAAAGCUUAAUUCUAAGUCCUAAUAUUUUUUUUUACAAAAAAAGCAUCCAAAUAUUGCAAAAAUACGGCAUUUUUGCAGCCCCCCUGACAAAAAUUCACUAAAAGAGUUAAAUAUUCUAAAAAAUGUUUUGGUAUAUGUAUUGCUAAAUGUGUAACAAACAUGUAUAUAAAAAAGCAAGGGAGAAGUGGAGCCAUUUUGCCAUUUUCAAAAUUUGAUUGUGAAAUAAUAAAUAAAUGAGUAAAUAAGGACAAAAAUAAAGAAAAAAUAAUUAAGUAAAGACAUAAUAAAAUAUUUUAAAUAACAAAUUAUAUAUAAAGAAUAUCUUUUUUCAAUUAAUUAAUUCUAUGUAUAUAGCAAGGGCAGUCUAUACUGAAAGCAUUAUGUUGUGUGUUCAAUUUAAGUGUAGGGUUUUUACUAUUAGCUUUUUUACAGUUUAUACAAUUUUCUGUUUUUGUACAUGAUUUAGAAAUGUGGCCCUUGCUACCACAUUUCGCACAAGUGUUUUCUGAUUCUUUACAGUUUUUAGAUUUAUGAAAAUCAAGACAUUUAGUGCAUCUAUUAACAAGAAAAAUUUCCGUCCAUUUGAUAACUCUCCAUCCAUAUCUAAAUCUGUGUAAAUUAUUUUCAAUUGUUGAUCUAUUUUUCUAUUGUGAAAAUGUGUUUGAAUCAAUAUUUAUAAGCCAAUCAUAUUUGUUAAAUUUAUUUUUAUAUACACUAAAGGGUUUUAAAUCAGAAUUAGUUACAUUUAAACUUUCUUUGAAAUAAUCUAUUAUCUGUUCUUUGCCAAAAUCUUCUUCAACAUUUAAUAUUUUAAUAGUAGGAGACCUACCUUUGGGGACUUUUGGAGUUAGCUUAGACCUAAGAUGUUCAUUUUCAUUUAUGAAUUUUACUAUUGUGUUUGGGGGUCGGUGGAAGGCUGGGUAAACUGUUUGGUUUUCGACCACUAGGACCCGGGUUUGAUUCCCGCAUUGGGCACUUUUUUUCUGUUAAAAAAAAAAUUAAAAAAAAUGCUCCAAUGGCCCCCGAUUCUUGCAAAAGUCCAACCCCACCAGCGAGUGCAAGUAACCAAACGGGGCUCUGGCAUUUGUAAGUGCAAAGUCGAACUGCUUUUCACAUGUGUAGACAUGUGGUGCGCUUACAGUAAAAGCAGUCGCUAACUACCCACCAUGAUAAUCAUGGCCUGUACCACGUGUACUAGGGAUAAGCAAAAAAAAAAAACUAUUGUGUUUACAUUUUCCAUUGUGGGAACUUCUAUGGUGCAUCCCUUUUUGUUUGGAAUAGCAUUUGCUCUAAUUAUUUUUAGAUUAGACAAAGAAAUAUUUUCUUUAAGGAAUUGCACGAUGUUGGUAUUUUCUGGGAGUUUUGAUUCAAUUACUAUUUUUCCAAUUAGAUUAGGGGAACUUUUUGGCUGGGCUAUGGAGGUUGGUGCAGUUGGUAGGUUAGAGGCCAAAACUGCACUGUAACUUUUCUCACUUUUUUCCAUUAAUAUUUUCAAUUUUUCAUCGAUAAGAGCAUUAUUUUCACUAAUUAAGUCUUGAGUAGAUUUUUUUAAAUCAUCAAUUUUUUCUUCAAAGUUUUUUUGAAUAUUUUCAAUAAUAUUUUCUUGAUUCUUUAAUAAAUCAUCCAAUUUAGUAUUAAAAGCCAUAUUUUCUACAUUUUCUGGUAAAACUUUUAUAAAUUCAUUCAUAUCUGUUUGAAUUAAAUUUAAAAUCUUUUUUUGAGCAUCCAUUUUCGGAUUUUUGGCAUUUAAGAAUGUGGAAAUAUUUCCCAUAAGUGUUUCCAGCAUAGGAAACAUUUCUCUACCCAAAGAAUUUAUUUCCAUUUUUAAAUUAAAAAGUAUACCAAAAAAAUGGCACACAAAAUAAAAUCUCGAUGAACGCAUCGAGGUCGUUUCUUGUUGCGUUCCGUGUUGAUAGUGUGGAGGAUUUCCUGCUUGAUGAUGUUGAGGAAGCGGAGGACUCCUCGAUGGCAGUCAUCUCGAUGUCCUGUGCAGAGGGCCGAGACUUUGCUGAUUGAGGGCUUACGGAACCCCUAGGUGCCCGCAAGGGCGGAGCAGGUGUCACAGGUGGAGGGGCAGGUGGCGUCUCCUCCGCAGGUGAGGCCGGGGGCGCUGUUGGUGAUGGCCGGGGUGCGCCUGCUGGUUGGAUCGCAGCUCGGGCCGCGGGCGAAGCGCCGGAGAUCUCCAAGGGAGGCGCCGGUGCUGGAUGCUGAGACGUUGGCCUCUGAGGCGGUGCAGGGGCGGUCGAUGGUGGGACGCCGGCAGGGGAGGCUGGUGGUGCCGAACUGGUGGUGUUAACCCGCCCUGCCAGCAGGGGGCAGUUGGCCCUGCGGUGCCCCUGGCCGUGGCAUCUGGAACACUUGAUGCCGGUGGACAGAUAAGCGGGCCAAGCCUCGCCUUUGAUGGUGAUGUCGAGGCGGGUGGGGAGCCUCUCGGUGGUCACUCCUUCGUGGAAGACGAUGAACGCCUCAUGGCGGCUGUCGGUGUAGGUGUAUGGGCCGGCCUUCAUCAUUUUGGGCGUGAUGGAUGUAGUGCGCCCAUAGGGCCUAAGGGCGUUGAUGAUGGCUGCGUCCUCCACGAAGAAGGGGAGGUUGCCCACCGUUAUCCUCUCCGCUCUUUUGCGGAAAGGGAAAGCCCUGAGGAGAGUGCCCUCAACCUCAAGGCCGUUGUUUAUGAGGCGCUCGGCGAGGCCUCUGUUGGCCAGCCCCAGGAGUUGGUGGCCGUUUACCUUGGAGACUUGACGACUCCGGCGGUUCCUCCAAGUAGCCUGUCCAGCGCCCCCAGGUAAUGGAAGGGCUGCAGUUCGGGGCCGUGUUCCAGGUAGACGCAGUGCUCCUCAGCAGAGGACGUUUGUCGCGCCCGGGCCUCCGCGAUGUGGGCCCUGGUUGUCGGGAUCUCCUGUGCCCGCGGCACCGAACGCGCUGAUGAUUGCGUUCGGCGACUGCUCCUGGCACCUCCGAUGUUGGAGGAUGGUGCAGCGGCUGUAGGCGAAUUCGAUGAUUUGCGGCGCCUCUUCUUGGUCUUCACGACAGUAAAGUCAUUGUCUGUCCCGGGGUUCAUGUCUUCGUCACAAUCUGCCCAGUUUCUAAUAGCAAGGGCAGCGCUAUUGGAUGACGAAGUUGCCGCUAAGCCGGACGUGAUGUCGACGCGCGCGGCGGCCAGAUUUACAUUUCCGCCGUCAGCCGGCAGAUAUACAUACUCUUGAGUAUUAGAGUUUUCUUUAUAGAUUUCUCUAUAAAGUUUGUUUUUCGCUGAAUUCUCGCUACCGGUUGGAGGUGGGAUGCUGGGGCUUCCAGGCCUUUGUCCAGCAGAUCCUGGGCUCCUUGGCGAUGCCGAAUUUGGCAUGUUUAAGGAUGCAUUCUACAGCAGUCAGUUGGCUGUCAGAAUUGGUCCUCCGGGACUCAUGCCUCCCCUGCCACAGCAUUCUCACAUACAGGUGAGCUCCUCUUCAAUCAUUAACAUUGUUCCCCCCUACAGCAGACAUCCUUUCAUUCCAUUUACAUUUAUUUAGACCACCAGCUAGCUAUAUAAAACCAAUUACAUUAUAUUUGUCUUCCGCAUCCUCAACAUAUAUAUAUAUAUAUAUAACAAUAAAUAGUUGUUUAGUUUUAUGGUUUAGUUUUGUAUUAAAAUUAUCUUUAUUAUUUUGAUUAUUUAAGUUCAAAUUAUAAAAUUUGUAAAUUGUUAUUAUUUAGUAGAGAGAGAGAGAGAGAAAAAAAAUCCUUUACUUCUAACACAUCAUUCAGUUAAUUAUAUAUUUAUAAUUAAUAACAAUAAAAUUUAACAACGUAACAUCUUUUGCAUCGGCUUUUACACGUCAUUUAGACAUACUCUAACCUAUAUAUAGAAUAAUAGAAGUGAGAAUAGUUAGUGAAAAGAGAGAAAGACAGAACCAUGCACUUUUAGUCAAACUAAUAAUAAGAAAGAGAGAAGUUUUGUAAAGAAGGUAGAUAAGAUAUAUAUAUAUAUAUAUAUAUAUAUGUCAUAAAAAAAGACGUAUUCUAGUUACGUUACCAAUUCAUGCAGUCGUGGAUGGUAAAAAUGAAUAACUUUUGUCCCAAAAAAUAUUUAUUUUGAUUAUUUUUUAAAGCAAACAGUUUUUUGCAUACAUACAACUAACAAUGUUAUUAUCUAUUUACAAUAAAAGUAAAAUUAGGUUGUAUUCCUUUUGUUAAGGAUUCCUUUUCAUUUUAAAAUUUAACUCUGUGAUUAUAGAAUUUUAAUUAUUUUAUGAAUAAUAAAAUUCAUAUUUUUAUUAUGUCAUAUAUAUAAUAUUCUUUUAUUAUCUUUGAAAAAUUGCAAACAUACUUUUUUAAAUUAUCCCAUUGUAAAAUUUUAUGUCACUAAAUUCAUAGAUCAACAAACAUAAUUACUAUAUUGACUUAUUUUAUAUCAAACUACUUAUAUACCCAUUAUAGUAAUUUAUAAGACACCAAAUAUCGUUUGUAAAUGAUUAAUUGGGAUAUCUAAAGUUGUGAGCAAUGUUGAGAGGGGUGGAGCGGUUUAGUGUUUGUUUUGGGACCCAAUUUCUAAUAAAAUUUCCUUUAGGGUGUUCUUUUGGAGAGUUAAUCUUUUUAGAUAUGAAUUUUGAGAAGAAGAUAUUUUUCUCCUUAGGUGCAAGGGAAGAAGGUUGGAUUCAAGUUGACCAAUUGGAUUUGGACAAGAUACUCGAAGCCUGCUGAUGAUUUGAGCUGUGCUUGUAGAGACGAGAUUUUUAAUGUUUUUUUAUGGCCUGGCUAUCCCUUUUCUUAGACUGCAGAAAGCCAACCUUUGAAGCUAGUUGUCACAAUACCUAUUACAUUUUGUACCCAUUUGGUGUCAAGGUUGUGCAUUGAAUAGGCUAGUAUUUUACGUCUAAUAUAAGUUUAUUAACAAAAUUGAUGCGAAAAAUAAAAGGGGAAUAAUAUUAAAAUACAUAUUGCCACGUGGAAAAUUAGGGAAGACAAAAACUUCAGGAGUAGACAACAAUUUAUUUAAGGGAAGGACAAACUAUGAAUGGUAAACAAAAGAUAUGCCACGAGGGGAAUUUACAGAGUAGCAAAAUAUAAUCAUAAAAAUAACCACUCUGUUAAUAAAAAUAAUAAAAUUAAUAUAUAUUUUGUUGUACAUACUCGUGAAUUGAUACGCGAGCUUAUCAAAACAAUCUUGUUCCCCGAAGAAGUUUGGCGAGUUGCCACGCGAAAUAUCGGAAAUAAAACUUUUUGAUCCAAAAUAGGCAUUUUUUAAUAAUAUAUAUAUGUUGAAUCUUGCUCACUCUCUGUUUACUCUGUGGUAGUUGUGACAGCGAAGGUGCUGUCAACUGGAAGUUGGGAUUGGAUUGGUGAAUUUUGCAGUCGUGAUGGCAGGAGUGAGGACACAGGAUAGGUUGGUCAAGGGAACCGAUGCUGACGGACAGAGAACAUAAGAGGGGAGUGAGCUUACGCCCCGCAAUUUACGCUGGAUCAGAAGACACAUCUAGUACGGAUGAGACUCGGAGACACUACUGAGGCUUCCCCAGUCGGUGGUGUCACGUGACCUCUAUUGAGAUUUUGAUUGGUCAUUCAUUACAUCAUGGAAGAUGAAGAAUCGCCUUGAUUGGUCCAAAAGACUGGGAAGCCAUCUUUGAUAGUUAUAGCAGAAAAUGUGAAGAUGGAGCAUUGACCUAAAUAAAGUUGUUUUCAGCGAAUUCAACUCCGGGGUCCUUUGUCUUGGAGUUCUCUGGAAUAAAAGUGUCGUUGACCUAGCCCUAAUGAUGUGAGAUGGGAAUCUUUCCUCUUAACUCUAGGCCUAACUGCAAUUGUUUAUGAAUAUCUAUAAUCGUAUUAUCUCCUUGUUUUUCUCUGUCUGUCUGACAUACAGUCCGCACUUUAUUUGGCUCUUUACAGUACAUCAUGUUAUACAGUAGUUAUAAGUGGUGGGACAUAUGCAGGGACAUGGUAGAAUGACUGGAGUUUUAAAUUAUCAGAUAUGAAGAGCUGAUUUCUGACGCCUUCGUCCUGAAAUCCAUGAUGACUCUUUCGUUCUCAGAGUGUUCACGAUAUAUACACCCUGCUAUAAAAAAUAAAUAUAAUUUAAAAAAAAAACAGAAAGAGCAAAAGGCAAUUUCAUGCCUGAUGUCUUUAUCGGGUGAUGUGUUCUGGGCCUUCAUCUUAGUUGAAGGUUGAGGCUGUUUGUGGUGGUUAUGGUGGAGGGGUUCAGGCCUUUCUAUUGUCUGGUCAUCUCCAGGCUGUCUGUCGAGCCUCACAGGUAUGUCUCCAUCACUGAGGGGCUUUUGGCAUCGGGGUGUAGCAGGUCACAUGAGGUGUGUAGACCAUAGGAAGGACAGGG